rnacentral:lncRNA from 1 species
UGGCCCUGCCCCUUACCAACUCUGCAGCAGUCAUUUCCUCAGUGGACCUCAGUUUCUCUAUUGUAAAACGAACCAAUGGUAAAUGACAGUGAUUUCAAACUUCAAUGCACAUUCAAUAAAUAUUUACUAACCUCGUACUGUGAGAGCCUGAAGGGUUCUAGGAAAGAGUUUGGCAAUCAGGCGAACAAGGUCUCUAUCCUGGAAUUUACACUCCGAGGUGGAGAAAGACAAUAAACAGUGAUAAAUGCUUGUUUCCUUUCUAUGAAGACAAUAACUACUACAGUGGUUGGUUAAACUAGAUCAGCUACUUCAGUAUGGAUGAUGAGGGAAAACCUUGAAUGCAGAUUCCAAAUGUUUUCGAAUGGAAUAUGUCUGGGAUCGGACCUUGAAACCCGCAAGUCUAACAAACCUCCUUGGAUGCUUACCCAUCUGGUGGUCCCACACUUCACUUGGAGAAUUCCUGGUUCUGACUGGCUGUGAUCCCACCACCUCAAGACAUAACAGCCUGGAAUGUUGGCCAUCUCCAAGGCAAGGAUUAGAAUACAUGACCUGCUGGAUAUGGGAAAAGGCUUAUUGAAAAGCCUCUUGGAAUUGCCCCAGGUGAUGAGGCUGGUUGUAACCAUGACUAUUGGGGGGAGGUGCUGUUGGGGGAUAAUCUGACGUCUAGUUCCAGCUCUUCCAUAACUUGCAACUCAGCCUCUGCACGUUGGUCAGCAUUCCAACCUUCCAUGGGCACCCCUUUCCUGGUGGUGAAAUGGGGGUAAAAUUAUGCCUAACUUGCUUCUACCCUCUCAGCUUCUGUGAGGGGUCAAAUGAGACGUUAGUCAAAGUGCGGUGUAAAUUAUAGAGACUGAGACUGGUGCUUCAAAAGAGGUACCAAGGAAGGUAAUGAUCACAGGAAUCUCAAUGAAUUUGAGCAGGAUUCUUCAUAAUUGUAUUAUAUAUGCCCUUAAUCGGAAGGUAAAUUAUUGUACCUUGCCACUGGAAUGCACUAUUUUUUAUCAUACUUAACUGGUAUUUCCUGAAGAGGUUAUUCACACUAGACCUUCUCUGAACCUUGUUAAUAAGGGACAUUAUGGUCAUUGGUCAUUCUUUUCUAUGUGCCUAUAGUUGGAGUUGGAGGGUAGAGGCACCCCUAUGUAACUUGUGAGGGGACCAGGACUGUGUGCACAAGUAUCCCAUUCACACUACCCAGCCAUCAGUCUGAGCUGAACAAGCACCACCAGGCCUGCUGUUUGAAGGCUGGAGGGGCACUGGGAUCUGCAUGCACUGGGCCUGCUCUGCCCCAGAAAGGGGCUCCUAAACACCAGUGCAUCAUUUUGCAAAUGGGAGAACUGGGGCCAGAGACAAAAUAAAAAGACUACAUCUUAAACUAAGGCUGUUAGAGCUGGAAAAAGGAAUCUCAACGAUUACUCAAUUUCCUUGUUUUGCAGAUGAGGGCAGAGAGGUUCAGAGAAGUGAAGUUAUUUAAGCAAGGUCACACAGCUAGUUCAUGGCAGAACCAGGUCUCACACCUGAAUUUCUUGAUCCUACGUCCAGUAGCCUUUUCUACAUAAAAUGUUGGAAUUGGGAUUUGAAUUCAGGUUUUUAUUAUUUUAAUUUUAAUUUAAUUUAAUUUAAUUUAAAUUUAAUUUAAUUUAAUUUAAUUUUAGAGAGAGUGUGUGAGCAAGAGAGGGGCAGAAGGAGAAAGAGAAUCUUAAACAGGUUCCAUGCUGAGCGUGGAGCCUGUUAUGGGGCUUGAUCCAUGACCCUGGGACCAUGACCUGAGCUGAAAUCAAGAGUUGGACACUCAACUGACCAAGCCACCUAGAUGCCCCUGAAUUCAAGUUUUUAAAAAUUCCUGACCCAAUGUGGCAUUCUAUAUUCAGUUCUAAAUGUUAAUAAUGACCAAAAUUAGUAGUUACUUUUACUGAGUAGCAACUAUAUGCCAGGUUCUAUGAGAAAUACUUGACAUUCAUUAUCUCACUUAAUUCUCACAAUAACGCAAUGAGAUAGGUGUUAAUUCUGGCCACAAAUAAUUAUUGAGUCCCUACUAUGUGCCAGGCAUGCCAAGGCCAGGUAGCUGUUAUCUUCAAUCACAAAUGAAGGUGACUGAAGUUCAUCAAAGAAAAUAAGAAAGUUAGGUGGGUGUCUGGAGUCACAGGCAGCAGCUGAAUAUCAGAGUGACCUUUUUCAGGGCAGUGUAACUUCCCAGACCGUAUCCUUACCCCCAUACCACACUGUAAGGCCUGCCUCUCUUCCUUCCAUUGCAAAAUUCACAAGUAAUUAUGGAGAACCCAUCAAAUACAUAAGCCUAGGGAAGAUCCUAAAGAUAUGGAAUCUUGUUUGCCCCAAAAGUAAACUCUAAUGGGGGGGAGAGGGGCAAGUAAUUAAGCAAUAGUUCACCUCAGGCCAAAAAGGAGGUAAGACAAGAUUUGCUUUGGGCAGAAAGUGACAAGAAUCAAACUAACUUGUGUGGCACCCAGGGCUUCAGCACCCCAUGUGCUUAAAAACACAGAGACACACAGUGAGAAAAUCAAACUUAAAAAAUAAAAAUUAUGGGGGCACCUAGGUGGCUCAGUCAGUUAAGCAUCCGACUUCGGCUCAGGUCAUGAUCUCGCGGUCCGAGAGUUUGAGCCCCGCCUGUUUCAGAUUCUGUGUCUCCCUCUCUCUCUGACCCUCCCUCAUUCAUGCUGUCUCUCCCUGUCUCAAAAAUAAAUAAACGUUAAAAAAAUUUUUUUAAAUAAAUAAAUAUUAUAAAGUGGGCCCAAAUACCUAUUUGUAUUUAAUUAUGUGCUUGUUUGCUCCCAGUGCUGACAACUUCCUGAAGACAGAAGAGGCCACAUGAGGGACAGAUAGCCUAGAGACCUGAUUGAUAAGCUGCAGACCAUCUCUGGCUUUGCUGAAUGACUUUGGGCAGCCUCUUUGCCUUCCCGGGCUUCCAUUUCUCUCUCCACAAAAUGGGAAGCAUAAUACCUGCCUCUCUGGCUUAUCAAGGUGAAGAAAGGUACAGUUUCCAUGAAACUUCAUUCUUUUGGGGGAAGCAUUGGUAAAAGGUGGUGAGGUUCCUUGAGUUAUCUGUGUUAGGAUGAAAAAUUUUAAUACACAUAGAUGUACGGUUUUUCUCCUCUUUCAGUUUGAUUUUUCCAAAGGACCUUGUGUUUCUGGAAGAACUUGGGCUGUAUAACUUAUCUUCUGAUAUCAGGGGCUCCUGGGCAGGAGGCCUCUAAGCAGACAUGGAGGAGUGGGUGGGGUCAGCAAGGGAGGGGCCUUGGCCUGUACGAACAGUGCCAGCUGGGGAGUGUUUUUCCAAACUCUGAGAACUCUUGGGUUUUUUGGCACAUGCCACAAAAUUUAUUUCACUUCAUGGGAGGAGGCUCAGCCUAGAUCUCUUCUUGUGAAGUAAAUGCAAACGGCAAUAGUUAACUGAGGUGGGAUGGCGGGGGUACUGUGUGUUCCCGUAGUACCUCGUUAGCCCCCAGAGCAACACAAUUUGUGUAAGUAUGAUUAUUCCCAUUUUACAGAUGAGGAAGUAGGCUCAGAGGCAGCCAAGCCUCCCCAGGGGGUUAGUAGAAGAGGAGCAUGGGUUUGUAAUGAAGAAGGUCUGACAGAGAAUUUAACUUCCAACACAUUCACCACUUGGACGCAGAGACAGGCUCACCUCAGCCUCUCUCUCCUCCAUUCUUCCCCCUUCCCCCAGCCCCACGCCCCUCCCUGGCAUGCCUACACUCCUCAGAUGGUCUCAUGAUGAGCUUGUCCACUGAUUGUCCCCCACCUCCCGCCUCGAUGCAGCCUACCACACUGCCUGAGCCAGUUCGCUGGACUCUUUCAUGAACCGAGCCCUGCCUCUGCUUAACAACUCCCAUUCUCGCCCCUCCCUGUCCUGCUGCCUCUACCACACCCAAUACCCCAGCAGCAGUGGACCACUCACUGUUUCUUUCCUUCCACAAAUAUUUAUUAAGCAUCUACAAUGUGCCAGGUACUGCCUAGGCCCUGGACAUAGAGAAGUGAGCAAGAUACACAAAUUCCCUGCUUUUGGGAAGCUCCUGGUCUUACACCCUGUGGCCCCCAUGCUUUCCUGCCUCAAUUCAUGUAAAUUCUUUCACUGUGACAUUCCUGUUCAUAGUGAGGUCCUGAGUGUGAAUCCCAGCUUGACCAUCUGCUGACUUUGAACAAAUAUUUAACUUCUCUCUAAGCCUCAGUUUCCCCAUCUGUACAUUGGAGAUGAUAAUACUACUUAUCUCAUAGAGCUCUGGUGAUUUUUAAAGGAGAUAAUGUGUAUAAUUUAAUAGGACAAUGCUUGCACAUAGUAUGCAGUAAGUAAACAUUACCUUUUGUUGCUUUUAUUAUUGCCAGUAAUGCCAUUCCAUUUCCAUUUGUCCAGAAUUCUACUUAUCCUUCAAGGCUCAACACAAAAUGCCAACUUUUUCACAAAAUCUUAUUUAAUUUCCAGAAUUAGAAUAGAUUUCUCCCCACUCUUUUUUUAAUUUUUUAAUGUUUAUUUAAUUUUGAGAGAAAGAGAGACCACAUGAGCAAGGGAGGGACAGAGAAAGACUGAGACACAACAUCAGAAGCAGGCCCCAGGCUCUGAGCUGUCAGCACAGAGCCCGACGCAGGGCUCAAACUCAUGAACGACGAGAUCAUGACUGAGCUGAAGUCGGACACUCAACUGACUGAGCCACCCAGGCACCCUGAUUUCUCCCCAGUCUUAACUCCUAGUGGCAAUUUCCCUAAAGCAUAUAGUAUUGUUUAUUUCCUUUCUGCCCUCAAUUAUGGUUACUUAUAAGUAUGUCUUAUCUUCCAUCUAGAUUAUGUUUCUUGAAGGCAGGGAUUGCAUCCCAUUGUUCUUAGUGUUUCUUAUUGUAGUCAUCAGUGGUACCUUCACAGCAGGCCCUCAGUGUAUUUUCUGGACAAAUGAAUGGAUGAAUGAAUGAAUGAAUGAGUGCAGGAUCGCUCCUGAUCACAUCAGUGUUUCAGGAACUAGAAUGAUACUGUCAAGGACCAAGUGCUAACUUUCAUGUAUACUUAAUAUAUAAUGUAGAUAAUAAAUGUUUAGUAUAAUUAUAUAAAUUAUAUAUAUACUUUGAAAUGAUAAAAUAUAAUGUGAAAAUAAAAUGUGCUAACUUUAGCAAACAAAGUAUUUUAAGUCUAACAAAGCAAAACGCGCAUAUAAGCCCACAACCCAGAGGCACUCACUGGCAACGUGUUGGUGUAUUUUCUUCUGGUCUUUUCUCUAUGUAUAUUUUAUCUAAUUGAGGCAGUACUGCAAAUUCAGCAGUUUUAUUUCUUGCUUCCCUGCCUUAACACUGUAUUAUGAGCACUGUCCCCACAUCAUUUGCAAAUGCCCUUCACACAGUUAGUUGUGUCAUCUAUUGAGCACCUAUGGUUUGCUCACAUCUGCCCAUCUUCGGUUUGUGCCACACUGCAUUUCCCAAAGGGCUUUCAUGGAGACAAGACAGAUGUGAUUGUCUCCAAUUGGCCGCUGAAGAACUGAGCCUCACAGAAGUUCAGAUAAAUGCUCUAGGAUCCCAGGACAGCAGAAUCAGGAUGAGAACCCAGGUCACACCCUCUCAUUCCAGACCCCUCCACCAUCCCACAGGAGAUACAGCACGCAUUGGAAAUGCAAACCUCCCACCACACCAGUCAGACAAACUCAGGUAACCAUGUUCAAUCAUUCCAGUGACUGGGAACAUCUCAGUUCAUGGAGGCAGGUAGAAAUUAGCAGCCAAAACAAAGGCAGACAGCAAUUUUCCUGGCAACAUGACCAUAAUUAGUCACAAGUACUGAGCUCCCAGAAGAGAAGGGCCCUGACUUAGGGACUAGAGUGGAAACAAUAAAGGGCAAGACAUGGUCUCUGCCCCAGGGAACAAAAUUCUCUACACCAGCACGGUGUUCUGUUCACACACCACUUGCCUGUCCUUUGCCUAUAGCACAGGGGAAAAAAGGUAAAGGGUUUGAGGUCAAAAGAAUUAGGUCCAAGUUUAGGUUUGUCUACUUUCUGGCUGUGUGAUGUUAGGCAGGUUACUUCACUUCUCUGAGCUUUAUUGUUUCCAUCUAUAAAAUGGUGAAAGGAAAAUAGUUAGCUGAUAAAAUUCACUAUGCUUUUGAGAACAUUAAAUAAACCAACAUCUGUGAAAGAGUUUUAUAGUCCCAGCUCUGCCACCUUUCAGCCCUGUAACCUCAGACAAGUUCCUCCUUCACCUCUCUCUGUGUCAGUUUUCUCAUCUGUAAAUUGGAGAUGAAAAAAACACCUCCCUUUAGGGUUAUUGUGAGGAUUAAGUGAGUUAACACAUGCAAAGUGCUUAGAACAGUACCUCACAAAUAGUACAUACUGAACAAAUGUUCCCUAUUAUUAUAGUAGCAUAGAAUCAAGAGAAUCAUUCUCAAAAAUCCCAUAAAAAAAUCAGAGCAAGUGUCUAAUCUAUAGAUGAGGAAACCAAUCCUCAGAAAGAUGAGGUGUUUAUCCAGAGUCCUGAUGCUAAUUGAUGGCAGCUUCAGGACUUCUCUAGAUUCCAAAUGCAAUGCCUUCCUUCUCCAGAUAAUAUUCUAGCUGUUGUAAGCUGUCAGCCUUCUGGCCAAUUUCAGUCCACAGGCAUGUUUUGUUUGGCCCACACAGUAUUCUUUUUUUAAUUGAAUUUAACUGUGAUUAGAUGGGCCCAGCACACGCUAGUGAGCCUCAGGCCCAACCCCUCCUCUGGUGUUUGUGACUCCCAGCCAACCAGCCGACUACCCUUAUUUAGAUCCCUGCACAGGCUGAUACAAUGCCAGUCACUAAACACAUGGUAUAGACAAGUUCUGGAAACUAAAGGGGAGGCAGAGAGGAGCACAGGCCAGAGGGACAGGGACGAAGUAGUCAGGGAAGCCUUCCUGGAGGUGGCUGUACUUGAGUUAAAACUUAAAAUUAGGGAAUGGGCUUUGUCCAGUAUAAACGGGGUGGGGGGGACAGAUUGCUUUAGCAUUUGGUGACCUUCAGGGAUGUUUAUGAGUUUCCCUGCCAAGGCUUCCGCAGGCCUUUCCCUUGGUCAAGAAGAGAAAAGAAAUAAGCUGCCCCUUAUCUCAGAUGAGGCCAUGCGACUCAGGAGGUCCAGAGUCAAUACGCAUUAUCACUGUUUUUGAGUAAUUGAUCUGUGUCAUCACCCCUGAGUACUCAGCACCAUGCAGGACACCUGGAGGGAGGUGUGAUCACAUGAGCUGAAUGGAGUAUGAAGGAUGGCCCCUGCCCUCGAUGAUAAUGAUAGCAAGAAUAAUAAUGAUAAUGGCAGGGUCUGUAGACAGGGGCUUUUUUUGUUCCGGGUGGCAGUUCCCAAGGGAAAUUCCCGAGAAUGUGAAUAGAUAAUCCACCAAGAUGGAAUCUGCCAUCAAACUAUUUGGGAAAACAUUGGGCUUACUUAAGCAAUGUUAAAUAAAUGUUUUGCUCUGGGGUGUCUUGGGGCCUCUAGCAUUCAUGGUAAAUCUCUCAGAAGGAGAGCAUUCCCCAAACUCAUGUGACACAGAGCAAAUCUGAGAACCCCUUUUGAGAAACACUAACUCCCUUUCUGCUGGGGUGGUUUCAGACAAAGGGAUGUAGGAAGAGGUCUGGCCCUGCUGCUAUUUCUUUUUUAUUUCUUUUUUAUUUUUUUUUUUCAACGUUUAUUUAUUUUUGGGACAGAGAGAGACAGAGCAUGAACGGGGGAGGGGCAGAGAGAGAGGGAGACACAGAAUCGGAAACAGGCUCCAGGCUCUGAGCCAUCAGCCCAGAGCCCGACGCGGGGCUCGAACUCACGGACCGCGAGAUCGUGACCUGGCUGAAGUCGGACGCUCAACCGACUGCACCACCCAGGCGCCCCAUCUGCUGCUAUUUCUUAUGGAACCUAGAUAAGUCCCUUUUCUUCUCUGGACUUUAGUUUUCCCAUUAAAAAAAAAAAAAAAAAGUCUGAAGGUCCUGGAAGUUUCUUCCCAUCCUAGCAGUCUUGAUAGCAGUUUCUAAUGUUUCAUACCUCUAUCACAAAGAGGAUGAGUGCUGGUCACAGGAAUGAGGUGGGAAAAGGCUGUGGCAAGCUGAUGAAGCCUCCUGACUGCCUGUCCCAGUGACAGUCACUGGAUCAGAGAGGUUUUCCAAUUCCCACAGGGUCACACAGCACUUGAGUUUCUAGAUUUGUGACACAUGGUAGGAAGGGGGGAACCUCAAAUAAUGUGAGUGGUCUAAUUACUUAAUGUGGGUAAAGUGCGUAGAGAUGAUCCCUAGAUAAAGACAAGGGAGAGCCAGGCUCAUUUUGUGUGAGUAGCACUGCCUGAUGCAUUUUCUGCCAGCCUCCAGGGUGAUGGGGCUCCCAGGGGGCCCUUCAAACAAGAAAAGCAGGAAAUGUUAAGGCAUGCCUGCCACUCUCCUGCAAAAGACCCUCCAGCGACUUUGUAUUGCAACAAGAAUAAACUCCAGACCUGUCACCUCAGCCCACAAGACCCUAUGUGCUCGAGACUCUGCCCACCCCCUACUCCCCCUACUCCCCCCACUCCCCCCUCUCUGCUCCUCUCCCCCUGCCUGCCAUGUGCCAGCUUCCUUUUUUUUUUUUAUUUUUUUUUAACGUUUAUUUAUUUUUGAGACAGAGACAGAGCACGAACGGGGGAGGGGCAGAGAGAGAGGGAGACACAGAAUCGGAAGCAGGCUCCAGGGUCUGAGCCAUCAGCCCAGAGCCCGAUGCGGGGCUCGAACUCACGGACCGCGAGAUCAUGACCUGAGCUGAAGUCGGACGCUUAACCGACUGAGCCACGCAGGCGCCCCAAUGCCAGCUUCUUAAACACAUAGAGCUCCUUCCAGCCCCGGGGCUCUAGGGCAAAGAGUUCCCACUGCCCGGAACACAUGCCCCCCCCACCCCCCGCCCAGCACAUGCACACACUCGAACACCAUACUCUUCUCAUCCUUCAAGCCCCAGCUUUAGAGGGCCCCUUCUCAGAGAGACCUUCCUCGAUCAACUUGGCUGAAGCACUCCAUGUUCUUCAUAGCACAGAUCACAAUCUCUGAUUUUAUGUGUUUACCUCCUUUUGCCCAUUUCCUUCACUAAUGUCUGAACUCCACGGAACUGAAGCUUGUGGCUGUGUUUUCACCCUUAAUUCCCAGUCCCAAGUACAGUGCUUCGCACAGUAGGCACUUAAUAUUUGGUUGAACGAAUGCUGUGUGGCCUCUAGCAAGGUGCUUCCCUUCUCUGGGCCUUCGUCUCCCCACGUGUGAAAAGCAGUGCUUGAAUGGGGUGCUGCUGGGAGCCUUUAGAGCUCUGACUACGGGUCUGUGACUAAUAUCUGGGCCUCGGGCCCAGGAGUGAGCCUAGUAUGUUGCAGCACCGUGGCCCUGCACACCGCGCACUGGUUUAAUCGGGCAGCAGACACCCUGUCAUUUUGUGUUCUGCUGUCCCUCCUCCUCAGUCCCUGGGCUGGGAACCAUGCUGUCAGAUUUUCAGGAUGAUCUAUGCACAGCCACCUGGGAGAGGCUGGUCAGUCUGGAAGCCUAAGGGCCAAGAGGCCUUGUCACUGUCCUGAUGUGAAAGACUGCAAUCUUUGGGAGUUUUCAUCAAAUCCUAUAAUCUCUGGACGUUUGGCCCGGCCCUCUGCCUUAAAGGUAACUGCCUUCUAAACUUUGCUCACUAGUGGUCAUGGUCACCUGGGUUCUACUUGUAGUGCUCAGAAUAGGGGCCUUGCUGGCUCUUAGGGCUGCUCAUCUCACCAGUGAACAGCUUUAGGAAGUCCUUUAAUCAGAUGGUUGGUGGAACACGAGGCAGUGUAGCAUAGGGGCAAAAAGUCUGGGCAGUAAGCCAGGGGGUUUGCAGAAUCCCAGCUCUGUAACCUACUUGCUAUGUGAGCCUGAGCAAGCCAUGACCCCUCUCUGUGCCUCUGUUCAUCUUCUGCAAAAUAGGGAGAACCCUCAUCAGGCUGUUGAGAAAACCAUAAGCAUUAAUAGAGUGAAGGUGAUAAUGUCGGUUUCUGUUAACUGCUACCUGUGAAGUGUUCUUGUUGUUAUUAUUGUUUUUAGAUCUUCUUGGACUCUGUUCUUUGUGUUGAUCGAUUUGUUUGCAAAAGAGAUAGUGGGGCCCAGCCCAAACACACAGGGCUGGGAAUCUAGGGGGUGGGCUCGCUGGUAUCUAUGAGAAUAUCCACUUCAUUGUUCCAGGCCUCAGGACCCCACCUGAAAAAAGGAAAGAGAAAAAUCCCUGUCUUGCUUCCUGUCAGAGAACUGAUGUAUAGAUCAAAUGAGAAAUAAACAAGGCAGCUUUGAGAAGUAAAAAAAAAAAAAAAAGCUCUAUAGAUAUGAGGGAUUCAUCUUAUUUUUUAAUAAAGUUUAUUGAUUUAUUUUGAGAGAGAGAGCAGUGGAGGGGCAGAGAGAGGGAAAGAGAGAAUCCCAAGUGAGCUCUGCAUUGUCAGCAUGGAGCCCGAUGUCGGGCUUGAACUCACCAACCAGGAGAUCAUGACCUGAGCUUAACCAGCUGAGCCACCGACAUGCCCCUCUUAUUUUAUUAGAGAGCUCUUUCCUCUUUUAGCAAAGGCACAUUAGCUCCAAAACAGCAAAAUAGCUAAACUCAACCUAUUUGGCAAACAGUGUGUUUUUGAUACUUGUUGUGAAUUUGAAGCUAAUCCCUUCAGAAUCUUCUUUCGUUAAUGUACCAGAGCAAACAAAUUUGAGAAGGAUUUAUUUAUAAGCCAUUUGGUACAUUCCUACAGGAUGUAGAGCUCAGUUUGGCUGAUUUCUGGUGUCUUUGCUUAUUGUUGUUAUUUCUUCCCUUUUUCUUCUUCAGGGAUUUGGUUGGAAGGACCCAGGUGAGGUGUGUUCAUUUUGCAAAUGUAGGCAGAACACAGUAGCCCUGCAUGAUUUCAGGAAGCCUGGUGUGAUCUCUGUUCGACCCCUGUCAUGCCUUGGGGGCCUACAGCAUGAGGAAGCCCCUAGAAUCGACCUUACUGCACAGAUCAGAAACAGAGGCCCAGAGAGGGGAAGGCAUUUGCCCAAAGUCACACAGCUGGUUAAUGGCAGAGGCUUGACCAGGUAGCCAGGUCUCUUGACUCCAAACCCUAUACUCUUUCCAGCAGUUCUAUGGAGUCUUGCAGUUUCUCUAAAUUAGCUUACUGUGUCUCAAAAUCUUGUAAUACAUAGGGGUUCACAUUUGUCAAAACUCAUUGAACUGGGGGAGGCUGGCUGGCUCAGUCAGUGGAACAUGGGACUCUGGAUCUCAGGGUUGUGGGGACCCAUGUUGGGUGUAGGGAUUAUUUAUAAAUAAAAUCUUUUAAAAAAAGAAAAGAAAAAGAAGAAAACCUCUCAUUGAAUUAUAUACUUAAAAUCUGGACAGUAUAUUGUUUUAAACUUAACUCACGUUUUUAAAACGAUAAAAUGGUGAGGCGCCUGAGUGGCUCAGUUUGUUGGGCGGCCGACUUCAGAUCUCGCAGUUUGUGAGCUCUAGCCCUGCAUCGGGCUCUGUGCUGACAGCUCAGAGCCUGAAGCCUUCUUUGGAUUCUGCUGUCUCCCUCUCUCUCUGACCCUCCCCGCUCACACUCUGUGUCUUUCUCUCAAAAAUAAAUUGACAUUAAAAAUUUUUUUAAAUAAAAAAAAAUGAUAAAAUGGUGUGGCAGAGUCCUAUUUAAUGAAGGAGGCAGUGUCUAAGGCCAGCAUUAAGGCAGAAAUAAUGUAAAAUGUAAAGGACUCAAGAAAAGCCCUUAGGAAGGCAGCAUGUCAGAGCCAACAUGGUCUCUCAGCUGUGUUUCUGUGGGCAUUGCAACAGCCUGCUGCUUCUUCAGAAGGUCCAGAUUAGAUUGUGGCUGGCAUGUAGGGCUCAGGUUGUGAGAGAAAGAAUGUAUCUCUACAAAAGGAUGAUACUCAGCCUGGUGAGAGGCACAUGUGGAGACCAAGACUGCUAAGGGAGGGGUGCCUUUGUGGCUCAGUCGGCUGAGCAGCGACCUCUUGAUUUCAUGGUUCAUGGGAUCGAGCCCCAUGUCAGGCUCUGAGCUGACAGCAAGGAACCUGUUUGGGAUUCUCCCUCUCCUUCUCUCUCUCUGCCCAGCCCCCCCCCCCACUCACACACGUGCACACUCAGGAGUGGUCUCUCUCUCUCUCUCUUUCUCAAAAAUAAAUAAACAUUAAAAAAAAAAGAAAAAAAGACUGCUAAGGGAAUGGUGGUUUAUGGUACCACAUCUCAUACACACACACGGAUCUCCCCGAGCAGGUGCCAGAGAAGGUUAAGGGAAGGCCUGGAUCUGGGGACAAGGAUCUGAGGGUUCCUGGAACCCAGCAUGUGACUUAAGUCAGGGGGAUUUCAGCCUCUAAGGGGGAGGGCUGAGGGGAAGGGGUUGGAGCAGGGCUGGGAAGCCGAACGAUGGAGAACCCUUCAUUCAAGAUGAGAGGGCAGUGGUGGGGAACUGAGGAGAUAAACAGGGAAGGAGGAGAUAAACAGCUGGAAGACAUCAAAGAGAGAGAUGUUUGAAGGCAGCUUAGAUUUUCAGCAGAUAUUAAGUACAUAGGGUUGUCACCUUCUACAGCAUCACAAAACUAAUAAGCAUCCUUUAAUAAGUAAACACCAUAAAGUUUGGAGUGAUGGAGGUGGAGGAUGUUAAUCCACAAAGCAUAAUAUGUUUAAUGAGAUUAGAUUUGAUAAGUUUCAGAACAGUUUGUUAGUUGCUUAUAUAUAAAAAGGAAGAUUCCACACUUCUCAGUGUCAAAGAGUUUGUUCUUUUGAAGACUUUAAACAUUUUCCCUAGAAUUGUAUUAAAACAAUACAUUUGUUCAUCUCACACCCCUUAGGAUGGCUACUAUCAAAAAAGGAUGGAUGGAUGGAAGGAAGGAAGGAAGGAAGGAAGGAAGGAAGGAAGGAAGGAAGGAAGGAAAACAAGUGUCGGUGAAGGUGUGGAGAAACUGAAACCCUUGUACACUGCUGGUGGGAAUGUGAAAUAGUUCGCUUACUAUUAUUAAUUUCAAAAAAUUAAAAAUAGAACUACUAUAUGAUCCAGCAAUCCUACUUUUGUGUAUAUAUUCCCAAAGGAAUUGAAAGCAGGGUCUCAAAGAGAUAUUUAUACACACACACACACACACACACAUAUAUAUAUAUAUAUAUAUAUAUACAUAUACAUAUAUAUAUACACCAUGGGUAUAUACACCCAUGGCCAUAGCAGCAUUAUUCAAAAUAGCCAAGAAGUGGAAACAACCCACAUGUCCAUCAAUGGAUGAAUGGAUAAACAAAUGUGGUGUUUACCUACAAAAGAAUAUUAUUCAGCCUUAAAAAGGGAGACAAUUCUGGGGCGCCUGAGUGGCUCGGUCGGUUAAGCGUCCAACUUCGGCUCAGGUCAUGAUCUCACGGUUCGUGAGUUCGGGCCCCAAGUCAAGCUCUGUGCUGACAGCUCGGAGUCUGGAGCCUGCUUCAGAUUCUGUGUCUCUCUCACUGUCUGCCCCUCCCCCGCUCCUGCUCUCUUUCUCAAAAAUAAACAUUAAAAAAUUUUUUUUAAAAAGAAAUUCUGCCACAUGCUACAACAUGGAUGCACCUUGAAGUCACUAUGCUACAUGAAGUAAGCCAGGCACCAAACAACAGAUACUGUGUGAUACCGCUUAUAAUGAGGCAUCUAAACUAGUCAAAGUCUAUCAAAUCCAUUGGCUGGCUCAGUCAACAGAGCAUGCAAUUCCCGACCUCGGGGUUUUACAUUAAAAAAAAAUAAUGAGGUAGUCAACAGAAAGUAGAAUGGUGGUUACCAGGGACUGGGGAAAAACAGGGAGGGGGGAGCUAUUUCAUGGGCAUAGAGUUUUAGAUUUGCGAAAUGGAAAAGCUCUAGAGAUGUGUUUUACAACGAUAUCAAUAGAUGUAUAACACAACUGGACACUUCAAAGUGGUAAAUUUUAUGUUAGAUGUUUUUUUAUUACAACAACAAAAAACAAACAAGAAACCGAUAUAUUUGCCUGCAGACCUUCCUUUACUCACUGAAAAAUAGUGGUUAUAAAACGGCCUGUUCAGUAUGAUCCUAUUUUUGUCAAAUAUCCUUUUCCACUUUAAUAUAUACAUUAUCAUUAGAAUACACACUGGAAGAUGAACAAUAGGCUAUUUCUGAGUACUGGUUUUGUUUUUUCUACCAUUUGUAUUUUCUAACUUUUUAAAAAAAUUUUUUAAAUGUUUAUUUAUUUUUGAGAGAGAGAGACAGAGACAGAGCGCAAGCAGGGGAGGAGCAGAGAGAGAGGGAGACACAGAAUCCGAAGCAGGCUCCAGGCUCCAAGCUAUGAGCACGGAGCCUGAUGUGGGGCUCAAACUCACUAACUGUGAGAUCAUGACUUGAGCCGAAGUCACACGCUUAACUGACUGAGCCACCCAGGCGCCCCUCUAACUUUUUUUUAAAGGAAGCGUUAUAUUAUUUAUUAAAACAAUAAUGAAAGUUUCAUCCCAUUCCAGUCCCUCUGUUUAUCCACAAAAUUUACAAAAGUGGAACUCACAUUUCUGAGGUUUUAUUGUAUAUAUAAUUAGAAAUCACUGCUAAUAAUUAAUUUUAAGAUAAUAAUAGCAAUAGUGAUAUUUCCUAUGUAGGGAAAACUUAAUCUGUGCUUUUUAUGAAUUAUUCUAUACAAUAACUCUUCGAAAUAGGUACCACUAUUAAACCCAUUCUGCAGAUGAGGAAACAGAGUUAAGUAGCUGGUACAAACUCAUUUAUAAAUGUCAGGGCUGUGUUGAAACCCACAGCAGUCUGAUUCCAAAGCCCGUGUUUCUGACAGCCUGGGCAUUCUGCUAGACCCACAUGAUGUACUAACCUGUCAUCCUGUGCAUGGGCCCCUUCAGCAGCCAUGAACAUAUAAUUUAUGUGUUAAAUUGUUCAGUCAGCACCCCUACCACUCUCCUGAUGGUUGUAGGAUAUUUGUUUCACAGAUAAGACAAAGGUCGACCUCCCUCCAGAAUUUCCAGGCCACAUUAUGUUCCAGAUGGGUCCAGACAGAGCCAAUACUGGGGAUUCUGAGUGGUUUGGGAUUGUGGGACUAUAUCCAGGGCAUUCACCUUAUCCACUUAGAUACUAACUCCACUGCCCACUACAACCACGAAGGACACACACCCACCUCCCAGGGCCGUCUCCAACCUGAGGGGAGGGCAAUGGGCAGACAGGAAAGGCUGUCAAAUAUGGUAACUGUAAUAAUAUGAUUUAUCUCAAAAAAAUGAUUGUGAUUAUGUAAUUAACACUUUUUAUUCAAACAUUUUCAUCUCUAAGGAUCUCUGAGAGUCUUACAGAUUGUUUAAAUAUAUAUCACAUACAUUACUGGAGAAAAGUCUAUGGUUUUAGAAGAUAAUUAAAAUUCCUUUGCCUUUGGAAUCAAGAGAAUUGCCUAUGGGAACAAUAUGAUGCCCACCAGACACACGAACAGAUCUAAACCCAGGAACUGUGAACACAGGGCUAGAAAGGAUCUUGAAGAGCCAUUUGUUUAAAAAGGACAAAUAAAUAUGUAAUAAACAUAUUGGUACUAACCAAUUUAAAACCCCCUGCUCAUGGCAGAAAUUAUUAAUCAAUGACAGCAUUCUUUCUCACUAAGCCUGGACUUAUCCUCAGAAUCGUUUUCAACAUAGCAUUCUAGGCAGCUACCACCACCUAAUCAGUGUCACACCCUAUUUGCCAUCCCGGAAAUUAGUUCACUCUCAUCCCUCCAAUCUGAUAGAGAGGGGACUGGAGUUCAGAGAGGUAAAUUAACUUGCUCAAAGCUACACAGCCGGUAAUGCAAAGCUGAGGUUUCCAAAUUUUUGCUUUUUUCUUAACCUCUCACCCCUGCCUUUUUGCUCUGUUCAGAAUAUAGUUGGUAGAUUGUAUGCUGUGCAGCAGAUUCCUCUUUCUUGGAUGACCUGUGUAGAAUGCCCCUACCAAUGAUUUGCUGAGCGACACCAGGCCUAUUGCUUAAAAUCUUUGUGUGUUGGGUGUUUUCAAGUUGAAAAGGGAGACAGCAAUCUGGAUUCAUGUUCCUGCCUCUUCUACUGGCACGCUGGUGUGCUCUUUUGAGGAAUGUGAGCCAUUGCUAAAAUUUCUCUGACUGUAGGGAAAGGGUCAGAUAUUUUGAGAGCACCUUCCCUAGGCAAGGUAAUGUGCUCCUGCUGUGAUGUGGUUUUGCUCCAGAGAGUAUAAAAAUGAAGUAGGACAUGGGCUAGCUACAGUCAUCUGGCCAUGGUAAGGCAACUUGGAAGGAGGUGGCAUUUGAGCAAGACUUCGGAGAUCAAAUGGACUGAAUGUUUCUUUAAUUAAAAAAGUAAUACAUGGUCAUUACACAAUUAUUGGAAAAGACAGAAUGUCAAGAGGCAAAAUCACUCCUGUUCCCUUUACCCAUAAGCUAUGUCAACAUUUUGUUUUAUUUUUCUCUUCUUGUAUCUUUAUUCUAUGCACAGAUAUUUGGUUUUUUUCUCUGCUCACAUGGUUGUUGAUCUGUGUGUGUCAUUUAUAUUUUGAUUUUUAGAAGUUUUAAUAUACUAUGAGAGUGCCCCACAACCCAGUAGUUCUACUAAGAAUAACCAACAGAAAUGUAUACGUCCAUAUGUUCACCCAAAGGCAUUGUGCAAGCAUCAUUUUCCAAAAUAGCCCCAAACUGGAAACAACCUGCGUAUCUAUCAAUAGAAUGGACCAAUAAAUUAUGCUGAAUUCCCCAAAAUGGAAAGUAUACAGUGAUGAAAAUGAACUAUCACUACACACAACAACAUGGAUACAUCCACAAACAUAAUGUUGAGCAGAAGAAGCUGGACACAAGAGAGACACAAUGACCCACUGAUACAAAGUGCAAAACCAGGCAAAACUAACCAUGGUGUAAGCCAUCAGAACACUGUUUACGUUUGGGGGCAGGGCUAGUGAGUGGAAGGGACCAUAGCGGGAGGCAUCUCUCUGCAGGUAACACAGUAUAAGCUCCUGGCGAAAUGUAUCAAGCUGUACACUUAUUACUGUGUACUUUUCUACAUAUGUGCUAUACAUCAAUAAAACAUUAAUUAAUGAAGUGGUUGUAGGCAAAUAAAUCCGUCAGGUAGAGAGGGCCGAGGAUGUCACUUUGAGCAGAGGAAAUAGCACAAAGAAAGUUGCAAGAGUGGGAAGUGGAAAACAAGGCAGCUUUCUUGCAACAUUGGUAUUACAAUAUUUUGAAUAAGCGAAUGAUCCCAAAACUUAGGCAUUAAAAACAAUCACACUUAUUUGCUCAUAAUUCUGAAAGUUGGCGGUUUGGGUUGGGCUUAGCUAGAUAGUGCCAUCUUUUCUAAGGUCACUGAAGAGAUUGUAGUCAGAGAGAUUGACUUGGGCUAUAUAGCCCAAGAUGGCCUGUGCACUUCACCCUUUUUGCCUGCUCAGGGAAAACGAAUCUGGGCCCUUAAAUAUCUGUUUAUUUUGCCAGCUGGCGGGAUGCUCAGUUUUGACAGUAGAGGGUGCUGGGGAGAUAUUAGAGUAAGAAAGUGUUUUGCUUCCUGGUUUUAGUUGCCAGCUCACCACCCUCCCUGAGGCAUGUGUGGGUCUCCCAUGCCCAGCGCCUGCCGGGCAUGGCUUCUCCAGCAUCAGGCUCGGAGAGUGCACGUGGCCAGCAGUACCUGGCAGCCCGAGGCUUCCCCAGGAAUCUCUCUUAAGUGAUUUUGUAUCAAAGUGUCUCUGAUGAGACAUUUCCCUAUGAAUGGCUUUUCUGAAACCCAACAGGACACAAUUUCAGCAACUUUAAAAGAAUGAUUUCUGCCAUGUCCACUGGCCUGGUGUGGUACCACAGUGACUUAUCUGCCAUUGUGUGGGCCACAGCCAUGUCCUCUGCAAUGAGAUCUGGAUUUUGGCCUUGGGGAGGCUCUUCUUCAGGUGCUCUAUGUCCACCCGAGGGAUAGUGGCUGCUUCUUAUAUUUGCUAUUGUUGUAGAAAUUCUUUAGAGUUCUCUUUACUUCUUAUUAGUCAGUCCCUUGUUACUCCAGCCCCCUGUUAUAAUUAAUAAUUCUUUAUUUUUUAAUUUUUUAAACAUUCAUUCCUGAGAGACAGAGCGUGAAUGGGGGAAGGGCAGAGAGAGAGGGAGACACAGAAUCUGAAGCAGGAUCCAGGCUCUGAGCUGUCAGCACAGAGCCCGACAUGGGGCUCAAACCCUCCAACUGUGAGAUUGGUUGUUGAUGCUGGCUAUUGUCUGUGGCUUUCUCUCCAAAUGUCUCCAGCAGGAUAGUCUUGAUUUUUUUUUUUUUUUAACAUGGCAGCUGGGUUCCAAAAGGUGAAUGCUGAAAAUGUAAGGACUCUGGAGGCCAAGGCUCAGAUGUCCCAUAACAUCACUUUAACUGAUAUCUAUCGGUCAAAAUAAGCCAUAGAGCAAGCCUAGAUUCAAAAGGAGGAAAAAUAAACUCUAUCUCUUGAUCAGAAAAGUGGCAAAGUCACAUUGCAAAUGGGCACGGGCACAGGAAUGGGAGGAACAUGGCAGCCAUCAUUGCAAACAACCUACCAUAGUUCAACAGCAUCAGAAACAGCAGAAUACUUUUUGAAAGUCUAUUCCUUGACUCUACUCCAGAGCUGCCAAAUCCAAAUAUCUGGGGUGGGAUUUGGCAGUCUAAAAUUUUAACACCCUUCCUCUCCCAGCCCCAGGCCAGGUGAUUCAUACCCAAAAUAAAACUUGAGAACCAUUCAUUUAUGCUCAUACGGUAUCUGUUCUCAUUCAUCACUUUAAAGAUGUUAUUCCAUUGCCUCCUGGCUUUCAUUAGUUCUGUUGAGAAUCUGUCAAUUUCAUUAUUGCUACCUUCAAGAUAUCCCCCUUAUUUUUGUUUUUCAGCAUUUAUACCAUAGUAGACCCUAGUUCAGUUUUCUCUUUAUUUAUUCUGCUUGGGGUUUAAAGUGAUUCUUAAAUCUGUGGCUUGAUGUGUUUCAGCAGGUUUGGAAAAUUACUGACCAUCAAAACAUACUGUUUUCAGUAUCACUUCAUUUCUCUUUGGGUCUCUCCUCCUUCUCCCUCCCUUCACUUCCUUCCGUCUUCCUCCUUUUUUUUCCUACUCCUCUUUUUCUCCCACUCUCCUUUGGGACUUCAAUUACACAUAUUUAGACAUUUUCACCAUGUUUUAUAUGACUCUCUUGUGUAUUACAUGUGCUGUAGUCUGGGUACUUUCUACUGACUUGUCUUUCAGUUCACUAAUUUUAUCUUCAGCUGUGCUAAUAUACUUUGCUGUUAUAUCCAUCUUUUAAAAAUAGACUUUUAAAAAAUUUAUUUAUUUAUUUUGAGAGUGAGAGAGAGAGGUGGGGGUAGAGGCAGAGAAGGGGUGAGAGAGAGAAUCCCAAGCAGGUUCCAUUCUGUCAGUACAGAGCCCAAUGCAGGGCUCAGUCCCAUGAAACAUGAAAUCAUAACCUGAGUCAAAAUCAAGAGUCAGAUGCUCAACUGACUGAGCCACCCAGACACCCCUCCAUCUAUUAGCUUCUUAAAAAAUUAUUUUUAAUGUUUAUUUAUUUUUGAGAGAGAGAGAGAGAGACAGAGCACAAUCAGGGAAGGGGCAGAGAGAGAGAGGGAGACACAGAAUCCAAAGCAGGCUCUAGUCUCUGAGCUGUUGGCACAGAGCACAAUGUGGGGCUUGAACUCACAAACUAUGAGAUCAUGACCUGAGCCGAAGUCAGAUGCUUAACCGAUUGAGCUACCCAGGCAUCCCUUGGCUUCUUAAUUUCAGUUACUGUAUUUCAGGCUUAGAAUUUUCAUCUGAUUUUCCUUGGUAGAUUCUAGUUCUCUGCUGAAAUUCUCCAUCCUAUCAAUUAAUUUCUUGAAUAUGUAAGUCACAUGUUUUAAAGUCCAUGUCUUAUAAUGCCAAUAGCUGAAUCUUCUGUGGGCCUAUUUCUAUUAUCUACUUUUAGUCUUGGUUUUCAGCCGUUUAGUCUUGCCUACUGAUGUCAGGUGAUUUUUUUAUUGAAUGCUAGAUAUUGUGUGUGAAAAAACUAUAGGAAAAUUUGAGACCCCAAAUGGUAUUAUCUUCCUUCAGAGAAUUUUUUACCUUUACUUUUGGCAAGCAAGGGUCUUGUAAGUCUUGUAAGGGGUUUAAUUGAUUAUAUGCUAGUCUUCAGUUUUGUGGAGCUAGUCUAUUUCUGAUUUGCCUCUAUUCCUAGGGUAGAAUCUUUGUGGGAUUCCAUUUGAAAGCUUGGGGUGUUUAUUAGGAACAAUCCUACUUGGUGGACCCUGAAAUCCAUUUUUUUAUAUCUCAGCUUCAUAACACCUUCAGAUUUUCAGUCUCUGCUUACCUUCUUAAUCAUCUUGAGAAAUGGCAUAUGCCUUGAAGGGCAAAGUAGCAGCUGAAUAUGGGCCUUACCUCCCUGCAUUUCUCUUAUCUCUGGAAUCUUGAGCCCUCAGGUCCAUGUUGCUUUGGUAACACUCUAAUACCUUCAAAUACACACACACACACACACACACACACACACACACACACAUUUAUUUUGUCCACCUCUUUUAACAAUUCUCAGUGGGAAGGUUGGUCUUCAAUAAGCUAUUCCAUUACUGUUGGAAAUACAAAACCCUUGCUCAUCUAACAUUUAUGUUAUAUUUUUAAGUGGACAAAAACCAUACCUUACCCCUCUCCAUAGUGCCAGGGACCCCUUGCUUUAAGUUCUUAAUAGCACCAUUUGAACAAAUGGAUAACAGUUAUAUAUUGCUUUUACUUAUAUAAUUUUAACCUGUGGACAGAAAAGAAAUGACCCUUCUAUAGUCCUAGGUAUUGGACCCAGAGAAGACUUGCCCAAAGGUUCCCUGACUAAGGUCUACUAAGAAGUGAGUGGCCUACCUGGGUCUUGAAUACAGAACCAGAACAGUGCUUUCCCCCACUCUACCAGAUUGUUCUGUAAUGUGAUGGUCAAGACCAUCAUGAGUUUGGGUGUCAAAUAGACCAGAGUUUAAAUCCUGGUUCUGCCACUUACCAACUGUCUGGCCUUGGCCAAGUUACAUGAACUCUUGGAGCUUUAGAUUCCUCAUCUGGUAAAGUGGAGAUGAUAAUAGAAGCUACUCAAGAAAGUGCUACUGUGAAAAUUAAAGUGAGCCAAUGUGUAUAAAGUACUUGGCAGGGUCACUGGGUCUGUAAAUAGGAAUUAUUCUUUAGGGGGUGUCAGCAUGAUAAACAAGGUGCCUUAAUUCUAUGAGUUUCACGGGUAGUGCAGCAACCAAUGAUAUCACACCACUUUUCCCUCCCCAAGGGCUGGGGGCUUUACUCCCAGAGGAAUCAUGCAAAAUACCCACCCCCAAGUCCUGCUGAUAAGCUCAAACCCAUGAAGGCUGGGGGGGGGGAUGGGUAGUCUUCUUAGGUGUCUUCAGGACCUUACUGCCGGCUUCCCCCAUGCUGAAGGCCUCCCUGAAGCCUGGUAGUCUGGGGUGGAUGGAGAAUCAGCAGUUCAGAAAUCAGGGCAGCAGGGCUGAAAGACUCCAAAUCUUUCUCUUCCACUAGUCCCCCAACAAGUCCCUAUGGCAGAGCAGUUAAGAGCACAGAAUCCAAAGAGAAACAGAUUGGGUUCACGUCUUAGCUUUGCCAUUUCCUAACUUUGGGGUCUUAUUCAAAACCCUUAAUUUUUCUGACUCAGUUUCCUCGUCUGUAUAAUGGAGUUGAUAAUAGUACCUACUUACAGAACUGUUUGAAAGAUUAAAUGUGGCACAAUAAAUAGCAUCUCUUAUUUUUUCUCCUUUUAUUUUUCCUCCAGAAUAUACUAGUCAGAAGGAGAUAGUAUAGCUAGAACUGGAACCUGUGUCUUUAGACUCUCCCUUUCCCCACUUUGCCCACACCACCCCUAAAAUUUUCCUGCUCUGGGGUUGAGGCAGUAUUUCCCAACUUUUCCUAUCACAGUACAUAAUAGCAUUUGGACAUCCUCUGGACUAUAAUAAUGAGGCUGCUUGAGGCCUGCAGGGGACCGUCUCAUCAGAUUUGGGGGCUCUGGCUGCCCCAGGCUCCACCUGGCCACUUGAGAACUGAGGGCUCUAUAUUUCAGAACACUUGUAACCUGUCACUGUCCCCCAGCUGAGAAUCUUUCGGUUAAGAUGUUGACAGUCUCCAGUAAGAGCCAACAUUGCACUGCCCAAAAGUGACACAUUAACCCAUUGUUGGUAAAUCAGUCCUGGACCAGCUAAUUCAGUCUCCGGGUAGGAGUCCAGAGGCCAGAGCCCAGAGCAUGGAGAUUGGGAAGAAAAUCAGGCGUUGGCUCCAGUCCAGGCUCUGCCUCAACUCAUGUGACCUUGGGCAAGCCAUGACCCUUUUCUGGGCUUUACUUUUCUGUCUGAAGCAGAAAGGAAUUAGACUAGAGGAAAGAUCUACAUGGUCCCUUUUGGCUCUGACAUUCUAAGAAUCAAGGAUUCUAUGAAUUCCCCAUCACUCAGCAGUAUUCUGUUCCUGGUGACCUAGUUCCUGUCUCUGGUUCAGAUUAGUGUAGCAAAUAGUACUCUCUCUGACUGUGCAGGUGCUCCCAGCUUUCCCCACAUGUUACAGGCUGGUCUCUGAAAUUAAACCCUGCCUGGCCCUGACAGAGGGCAGAGCCACACCUACCCGGUGCCCCCGUCAACGGAACUCCUCUGAGUCCCGUGCAUGUUCAGCUUCCCCCUGCCUGCUAGCUCAGCCUCCGGGAGCAUUCCUAGUGUCCCAAAUCAUCUCUUCUCCCCACAGCUCCCAGGGCUUGCACUAUCAUCUGGGCUCAUGGAGAAGGCAGGGAAGACCAGCAGCAGAAGCACAACAGCCUCCCUGUAAGAGGAGGUAGGGAUGCUAGGGAAAGGAAGAGUGUGGGGAGGCUAGAGGCAGAUCCCCUGAGGAAUCUGGGGUACAAUACUCUGGAGGCUGGACUUGGACUGGUGUGCAGGGAAGGGACACCAUGGGCCUUGAAGCAGAAGAAGGACAUGGCCAAAACUUAAGGUCACAAUGUGUUUGGGCUCCAUGGAAGGGAGACUGGAGCAGAGAGAGAGAGAGAGCCUGGGGGCUGUUAGAGAACGCAGGCCAGAGAUCAUGACAUGGCAGUAGGGAGAGCAAAGAGGAGGAAUUAAGGGGGUGAGUUGGCAGACUGGGUGCCCAGUUGGUUGUUCCACCACAAAUCUAACUGUAUCGUGGGCUGGGUGACUGGAGUUACACUGUCAUGGGCCCGAGGGACUAUCUGCUUUGUUAGUAUGGGAAACAAGACCUCAAGGAAGAGUUGAGAAAAGGGUCUCAGGCUUAGAGACAAAUAUAUUAAAAUCUCUUCAAUAGUUCUUUAUGCUUCUUAAAAUGUUUUCUCACUUGGUCCUCCCAACACUUGUCUGUUUUGUAGAUGGGAAACUUAAGAUCGUGGCACAAUUAGAACCUCCAACUCAGAUCUCCUAAUCAUUGGCCCCGCACUUGGCCAGAGAAGAUGUCUUUCCUGAACUGAUGGGCAGGCAGAGGUGGUGGGAAGUUUGCCUCUGCCCAGCUGCUUCCCAUUGCCUCCCCUGGGCUCCGCAGCCCCAAGCCUGCCUCCAGCACCUACACACCCCCACUUGGGCUUUCUUUAAUGUCCUAUGAAGAGGUGGGUGGGGCCAAGUGCAGGUUCUCGACAUUCAGACACAAAUAGGCGAUCCCUUAUUUACAAAGGAAACUUACAUGAAUCGCUAACGUGAACUCAAAUAAAAAAGAACCUGCUGAGGCUGAAGCAGAGGUCUUGACUGCUCCCACCAUCUGGCAACCUCCGUGACACUUUCAGAAUCCCCAGGGUUCCAUGGCCCAGAGUUUGUAAACCACAGGACUGGAGAACUCCUACUUGAACAUCCUAGAGUGAGGAAUUCUCCACCUGGGUCCACAAAUAGAAUUCUGGGGUCUCUGAACUUAAAAUGAAAAAUUCCAUAUUCAUUUUCACUAACCUCUAACUCAAGUUAAACGCUUUAUUCCAUUACAAAUGUCGACAGUGACUAGAGUAAUAUUGACAGUUCCUGUGACCAUGUCACUAAGAGAAAUCAGAUAUUUUCCUAUCACAUUAUAGUUGUCAUAGAUCUCACAAACUAUCAUUUAUGCUCAUCAUUACUUUAAAAUGACAAUAGUUAUUAUAUCUGCUGCCAGAUCUCAUUUGUAAGUUAAUAAAGAAGUAUACAUUAUUAUGCCAUACAAUUUAAAAAAAUACCUUGAUAACCAUAUUUCAAUAUGAUUUGUUUUCUUUACAGUCCUGAGUAUUUUCUUUGACGCAUUUAAAAACAUCGUGAAAAAGGGGUCCUUCAGACUUCACAGAUUGCCAGAGAAGUCCAUGGCAUCAGUAGGUUAAGAGCCCCUGUCCUGGGACUUCUCUUUCAGAAUGGAGGGGGCUGGGGAGCUUGAUGAAGGCUGCCAAAAGAGGGCAUGUAGGACCUAGGAUCUCCGGAGGCCUUGUGCUCUGAUGUGCACACUCUGAGCCUGAGGAAAAUGAGACAGGAAAUUGGGGCAGGAGCAAAGGGACUCUGAGAAGUGGAGCAGAAGCCAACAGGCCAGGCUGGCAGGACUCGGUCUAGUGGGACAAAACUGAAUUCCUCAGCUCCAGUCCCAGCCAGGCUUCUGGGGGAGCCAGGACUUGUGGGCCCUCGUCUCGUUUCUCAUUUCUCUGCCCAGUCUCCGUUUUCUUCUCUGAGCUACUAUAGUGGAAGCAACAGUGGCCUUGAGGGGAAGAGCGACCCUGCUUCUGGAUCUGACUCUUCCUUGCCUUGCUGAGGGACUCUGGGCAGGUCACCUCCCUUCCCCAGGUAUGAGUGCUGGCGUAAGUCCUGCCAUGCCCACAGUAGACAUUGCUGAUAGGUAUCAGCGUGCGAUCAUUCCAUGCAGCUUCAGAAGCCUUUUCGACACUCUACUGAUCAAUUGGAAUUAGCAAAUGAAGUGAAGCAUAUUUGCUAUUAUUGGACAAGAUGACCUACACAUUUCUAUCUGUACUAGUCUGUGCCUCUAAAGAUUUAAUCCCAGGAACCCAAGUAAGACCCUAGAUAGACGUGCAGACACCUAAAGCAUGACUAUUUCUCACUCAUAGGCCUGUGUGUGUGUGUGUGUGUGUGUGUGUGUGUAACAGACAAAGAUGGGCUGUGGAUUUUCUCUUAUGCACUCUGUAGCAAAAAUGGGGUCAGAAUAGGACACUUGGAUGGUGAAAUCUCAGUCAGACUUCCUGGAAGAGAUGAGCAGAGGCACAUGGAAGUCAAACUCUGAGCAGUGUCGGGAAUGGGCGUCACUCCAGGAUCAGUACCGCCAGGCCCUACCUGUCCCCAAAUGUCUCGUGUCACAAAAUUAAGAUCAGACAUGUAGUGCAGCCGAGUGAUGGUGACAAAGAGUGAACACCACCCACAGCUCCUAGUGUAAUUUACAUGGACUCAUGCACACAGCCAGGUGGGCAAGAUGUCGAUAUGCUGGAGACUUGUGGCUUCUCUCCCAAACAGCACAGAAAGCCACUUAGAAAGUUAUUUCAGAGUGUUAACUAUCCCAGGUUACAGCUAAAGCCUAGACAAAUGUUAUAGUUUACAUAAGGUCAUAGCCAGUUCAAGUGUUAGGACUGGGGCCCAGGUCUCUCCAGGCCUGUGGGGCCGGGCUGGUAUCAUAAAUGAGACAGUGGGUUGGGUAGAUGGGGAUUGCAGCAAGCCAGAGGUCGCAUGUUCUAUUGAAAGGCAGCAGCUGUGGGCGCCUGGGUGGCGCAGUCGGUUAAGCGUCCGACUUCAGCCAGGUCACAAUCUCGCAGUCCGUGGGUUCGAGCCCCGCAUCGGGCUCUGGGCUGAUGGCUCAGAGCCUGGAGCCUGUUUCCGAUUCUGUGUCUCCCUCUCUGCCCCUCCCCCGUUCAUGCUCUGUCUCUCUCUGUCCCAAAAAUAAAUAAAAAACAUUGAAAAAAAAUUAAAAAAAAAAAAAAAAAGNNNNNNNNNNNNNNNNNNNNNNNNNNNNNNNNNNNNNNNNNNNNNNNNNNNNNNNNNNNNNNNNNNNNNNNNNNNNNNNNNNNNNNNNNNNNNNNNNNNNNNNNNNNNNNNNNNNNNNNNNNNNNNNNNNNNNNNNNNNNNNNNNNNNNNNNNNNNNNNNNNNNNNNNNNNNNNNNNNNNNNNNNNNNNNNNNNNNNNNNNNNNNNNNNNNNNNNNNNNNNNNNNNNNNNNNNNNNNNNNNNNNNNNNNNNNNNNNNNNNNNNNNNNNNNNNNNNNNNNNNNNNNNNNNNNNNNNNNNNNNNNNNNNNNNNNNNNNNNNNNNNNNNNNNNNNNNNNNNNNNNNNNNNNNNNNNNNNNNNNNNNNNNNNNNNNNNNNNNNNNNNNNNNNNNNNNNNNNNNNNNNNNAAUCGAGAUUUUGAUAUUAAAUAGCCCCAUUUUCACAUGUGGUCAUCUAAAUUUUAAAAAGGCUAAAACAGGGGGCGCCUGGGUGGCUCAGUCGGUUAAGCAUCCGACUUCAGGUCAGGUCAUGAUCUCCCGGUAUGUGAGUUCAAGCCCCACGUCGGACUCUGUGCUGACAGUUGGAGCCUGGAGCCUGCUUCAGACUCUGUCUCCCUCUCUCUUUGCCCCUCCCCNNNNNNNNNNNNNNNNUUCCAAAGCUUUCUCUCUCUCUCUCUCUCUCUCUCUCUCUCUCUCAAAAAUAAACAAACAUUAAAAAAAAAUUAAAGGGCUAAAACAAAAUAAAACACUGUGUAGACCAAACAAAUUGGAUCUGGGACGUUAGUAUUUGGCCUGAUUUGCAACUCUGGGUGGGACAGGCUCUAGAUUUAGCUGUACACAGACCUGAAUCACGGUUCUGCCAUUUGUUAACUGAGCAGUCUUAUGCAAGAUGUGUAGCCUCCCUGAGUCUUGGUGCUUUCUUCUGUAAAAUGGGAAUACUAAAGUGGAACACCGUGAGGAUUAAAUGAGGUAAUGAAUUUUAAACACUUAGCACAAUCAUUCGACCAGAGUAGGUGCUCAGUAGAUGUAGCUCCUCUACCAAAGUGCCUCUAAGCUUCAUGGUGAUGGGUCAGAUGGACCCCCAACCCCAAAGCACCCAGUCUAUCCACCUCAGACUUAUUUUCCUGCAAGGUCAUGGUGCUCAGUGUCCAUGCAACUAACAUAGACACCCAAGGCUCUCAAACGUGCUCACACACAAUCUGCAUUCACCCUCGGGAGGAUUUUGAGAUGCCAAGAUUGGUUACCAAGGAAAGAUGUUUAGGAGGCUUCCCUGGGGUGCAGCUACAACAUUCUAGUGUUGUUGAGAAGAGAGGCCUGCCCAGUGCAGGGGACUGGCUAAUGAAACCUGAUGGGGGCCUUCAUAGCCUUAGAAUUUUUCACCUUGAAUUUUGUUAGCUCGUGUGUACAAAUAGGCACACACACACACACUGUCACACACCAUCUGUCCCGAGCCUGGGCCAGAGUGGCUGCUUUUCCUGCUCCUGGGAAGCUUCUAUUUUCUCAUUCUCCUGCAGGCUCACUGGGAGGGGAGGUGCUGUCACAACCCUUGAACCAGCAUUCCCUGAGCCGGAUUUGCUCGGCAGGGAGCCUCAGGAGACGGACAGGGCAAAAGAAGUUCAAAUGACCGAACUGGAGGGGCUUGAUCCCUUGACUGGGCCCCCGAAGCAAGGAACAACAACACCCCCCACCCCCACCCCUGCACUCAGGGGCAUGGACUGGUUCCAAAGACCCGCUCCUCCGGCGUCUCCAGGAGUUUCCUGCUGCCCCGGAUGAUGGCAGGGCUGGGAGGGGUUCCAUUUUACGGAUGGGGAGACAGACCCAAAUGUCUUGCACUGAAUCCGUUUAUUCAGUCCUCUCUAAGGAUCGGGAGCCCUCCCGACCUGGGACUCUAAGGGAACAAGUGUGUGGGUUCUGAGUCCCUGUUGUAAGCUGCACCCCAACUUACCACCACCACCACUACCACUUAGCCAGCCAACUCUUUUGAUUUUUCUCCACUCCCACCUCAUUCUAGAAUUUAGAAGACACUGAGGUAGAGAAAAGUGACUUACACCCAAGGUCACCAGUAGGUGUUAAAGUCUGAAUGGGAACACAAGAUCGUCUGACUCCGAAGCGCGUGCGCCAGCCACCUAUUAGACUGCCUCAUACAUGAGGGCCACAUUCCCGGCCUGGGUUUCAGUUCCAGGAGUCAUUAGAAAAUACCAUGACUCAGUGAGCUGUUUCCACCUGCUUUUUGUUUAUAUGAGUCUGUAUUUCAAAAAGUCCCAAUAAAUGGUAUUGUAAAAAAAAGUAAAAGAACUUAACAAGCAACCAUAAUCCAUCAUACUCAGAAUAAUUCUCUAUCACGCAGGUCACAUUUUAUAAAACAUCCAUUACUCUAUUUCGUCAAUUCUAAAAUGCAUGUCUGUGGGGUUUUUUUCGGUUUUUGAAUUUGGGAUGCAUUUAAAACUCUGUGGACUCUGAGCUUCCAGGAUAUACACUAUUUUAUUUGGCCCUAGGAAUCAUCCUGAUAGGCAAGCAUUGUCAAGAUUACAAUCCCCAUUUUACAGCUGGGAAAACGGAGGUUCAAAGGGGUUAGGCAACUUGCCUGAGGUUACAGAGCUAGUCAAUGCAGAUUAGCCCUGUGCCCUGAUUCCCAGCACAAGCUGUGUCCACCCUAUGCUCCUGGACUCCAGGCUCUGUGCUCACACCUGCCUGUUUCCAUCACCCCCCUGGCCGACCCCUAGCGGAGGCCUGAGGGACACCUCAGCUCUCCCAGGGUUGUCCAGCCUGUCAGAGGGGGAAUGAACCCAGUGUGGGGUCUCCUAGGAGUGGUCCAACCCCAAAUAGGAAGUUUGCAGGCCCAUUUUCAACAAUGGAUCUCAUGUAUUGUAGAGGCCAGAGCCGGGCUUGGGGUGUGAUGGCAGUGUUUCUGCCUGGUGCCCUCAUAAACCAUGCAAGCCAGAUCUCACCUAAGGCUCCCCAUUCUCUGAAAAUUGCCCUAUUUCUCAUAUUUCAAAAGGCCAAGUGGAAAGCAAACAUUGACUCUAGAUAAGCUCGCACAGGCAGACCAAAACACCACAUUUCUUUUCUUUUGGUUUAACUUAUAUCAGCUCAAUGGUAUCACCGCGGUUUGUUCCUGCUGACCAGAAAACACUGAUUGGCUAUUACACGGUCCCAAUUAACAAAGAAGGGGAAAAACAAUUAAUGACAUUAUGUAACAGGUACAGACUGGCAGACAAAAAUCUUGCAAAACAAUGGGUGUAAGGGGGGUGGGAAUAAGAAAAGGAGAAAGCUGACAUGGAGAUCUGAGCUCCACAUUUUCCCAGAUGGGGAACAUGAGGCUCAGAAAGCUGGAGUGACUUGCUCAAGGUCACACAGCAGGGCUGGAACCAGCACCCGAGGUUUCCGCCCCUCAGGCGGGAGCAUUUUCCUACCAGGCCCUGCUCUGUUGAGGUUCGAGAAACCCAGACCGUCAGGACUCACCAGGGUUUGUUGAAGGGGGUCAGGACAGGGAAAUGGCUUCUCCCUCACACCUCUGGGCUCCUUCCUGCCGAGCAGUUGCCAAAGGCCACGCUGUCUUUCCUCCCUGGGCGUCUGCCAGGGCAGCUAGGCAUGGGAGCUUUCUGGAAAGCCAGCUCUGCUGGGCCAGGCGAAGGAGGCGUCUCUGAAGAAAGCACUCUCCCGGACAUGAAACCACCAGGCCCUGGGGUCACAGAGUGGCCAUGGAGGGCUUAAGUACACCUAAAUGGCACAGCUGCCUCUGGCCCCCAGCAGGGAGCUCUCCAGGUGGCAUGGCUGGUUUCCCUGCCAGCUGCUGGGUGCCUUUAAGAGAAUAAUUGCCGUUCAUUGGCUGAGCGAGGCUCCCCCUACCUCUUUACCUGAGCAGGUGAGAGAAGCCAGGCUAGGGGAGGGCUGGGGACUCAGGUGAGAAAACAAACCGUGGUGACCAGCUGGCUCUCCCUUCUUCCACAGCGCUUCCUUCCCGGGCUUCCUUCCUUAUCCCCGCCCCAACCCCAGGACCGGCUGGAGGUAAAGACCGGAUAAACGUUCUGCAAAGUGCCUAGGGCCAUUCAGUCCACAAAGCUUCACUAUCUCACGGUAGCCCUAUACCAGAGUUAUUUGUAGGUCUUCUCUUUUGAUGGAGAAACUGUCCUUGGAGGGAUGAAAUGGCUUAUCCAGCUCACAGGGCUCUUGGAAGGAAUGUUGACAGGGGAGGAUGGUAUGAGGACCCAAACCUGAGUCUGUUGCUUUUGACUUUCCAUACAGUGCCUCUGGACCACACCACCCUCUUCUCUGUGAGGCCUUUGGCAAGCCACUCACUGUCUCAGUUUCCACAUCUGUAAGACGGUACAGUCAUGCUUGUAUGUAGUCUACACUCAAUAUAUUGAGUGUAUAUUAGAGCUAAAAAGGACUUGGGAGAUUAUCUAGCUCAUCCAUUCAUAUAGCAGGCAUUCAUUCCUAUUAUGUGCCAGGCCUGUUUUAGAUCCUAGGGAUACACCAGUGAACAAGAAAGUCAAGGGCCUUAUUGGGUUUGCAUUCUAGAAGAGGAAAGAUAGACAUAAACCAGUAAACAGAUUAGAUAGGUAAAAGUACCAUGAAGAAAUAAAAUAGGCUGAUAUGAUAAAGUAAUGGAGGGGUAUUUUAGAUUAUCUAGUCAGCAAGGCCCUCUCUGAGGAGGUGAUAUUGAAGCUGAGGCUUGAAUAAUAACAAGGAACCAGUCAUUAGAAGACUGGAGCAAGAGUAUUCUAGGCAUUGGGAGCUGCAAGUGCAAAGGCCCUGAGGCAGGUGUAUUAGGAGAAGAGAAAGACGCUGCCAUGGCUAGAGUAUAGCCCAAUCCUUGCACUCCCUUUUUAGUAGAUAAGGAAAUGACUCAGAGCAAUGGCUUGCCCAAGAUUCCCUCUUGCAAAUUUCUCCUUCCUUUCUUUAUUCUCAUUCAUUAUGGACAGAAACUGAAGUCUGGAGUUCAUCAGCACACUUAAGUUACCAAUAAAACAAUCAUUCUAUGAGCCUACACUGCUUUAACCUCAUGCUUCCCCAACUCUGUAGACAUGUGUCAGUUCCCAAAGGGCAAGGGCUACGAUUUUAAGAGUUUCCCACAGUGAGGAACCAAAUCCUCACCAACAGAAUAUGGUACUAAAAAUCCCAGCAACAAUGCAAACUGCCAUACAGUGACAUGGGGUCAGCACAGACCCUUCCCGGUGAAUUUCUUUCCACUUCCACUUUCAGAAUUUUUUACUCUGAUUUUGAAAAAAAGGGCUGCCUGUUUUCAGUCAUCGUAUUGUGGUGGUAACACUGGGAUUGUUAUUCUGAAACUGUUGGAUAGGUAGUGUGGGGUAGCCAGUGAGUUUCAUGCUGGUGGUGUUGAGAACCAGGACUUUUGGUGUGAGAGAAAGGAGAUACAAGUGAAAGACGACAGGGGUUAAGUAAAAACUUUAUAAUCCUGGAUUUAAAUUGGAAGUUCCAGUAUGAAUUUCUGAUGUAACUGAUUUGAAAGCACACACCAUAUUCCCUAGCUCUGCCUAUCGUUUUCAGGUCUAGAAACAACAACCAACACUUGAGAGAGCAUCUUUAGUGCCCAGACUGUGGUCUCUAAAUACUAUUUCCCCUUAAAGGAACCCAGGUUCCUCAAAUAAAUAAAUAAAUAAAUAGUUGAUUCCAGCUUUGGGGCAGAAAAUGUACAUGUUCAUAGACUUUUAACGCAAAUCAAGGAAACCAGAGUCGUGGCAAAGGGAAUCUGGAGUCCCACUUGCCAAAGUCCAGACAAUUUCAGUCUAAUUAACUGCAAUGAAUUGAAAAUAUCAAACACAUUUAAGUCCAUGAGUUCAUAAUGAUAUUUUAAAAAUAAACAAAAAACCUCAGCGAUCAUCUUUGGAGGAUAUUAGGAAAUCAAUUCAUUAUUUUGAAAAUCAAGAGAGACAAUUAAGCAUUUAUUCUGUCUUUCCUGUACGAACUGUGCUUCAGGCAACCAAGUAGUAGAUGAGAAGAAGGUGCUUUUUAUGUAAGCAUUCCAAUAAAGAAAGGGAAACAGGAAUGAAGAAGGAUUAACUUGGAAUAUCACCAUUUUGCAACUCCUUAUGAAUUAGUUGAUCUAAUUAAACACCAUAUCCUAUGAAGAAAGCAUGGCCCAAGAAUCAAGCAGGAAUCUGAACAAGCCUUUAGAGUAGGUGUUGGCAAACUUCGUCUCCAAUGGGCCGGGUAAUUUAAAUUUUACAGGCUAUACAGUGUCUAGAGUCUGUUGCAAGUACUUAAGCCUGCUGUUGGAACACAAAAGGCAGCCACCGACAAUAGCUAAACAAACGGGCAGAGUUGUGUUCCAACAAAAUCCUGUUUACAAAAAAAGGUAGAUGCUAGAUUUGGCCCACGGACCAUGGGUUUCCCAACUGAUCCUGACCACACUACAGUGUACAGGAAAUACAGGGACUGAGGAACACGUGAAAUGACACCAUGGGGACAUAAUGAACAAAAGCCAGACUGGGGGAAAGUCUAACAGGAAAAUCAACCUGAUUUCUUUAACAAAUGAAUGGUAGAGAGAGAGGGGAGCACCUCUAGAUUAAAAGAAACUUAAGAAAUGUUAGCCAAUCACAUUGUAUGGAUCUUGUUUGAAUCUUAAUUCAAGCAAGCAUAAAAAGAAAAAAAAAUAGAGAGAGUAAUUUGAUAAAUGUGAACAUGGACUCGAAUAUUUGGUAAUAUGAAGGAAUUAUUGUUGACAUUUGGAGAUGUUUGAUGAUACAUUGUGGUUAUGUUUAAAAGAGGAAAUCCUUAUCUUUUAGAGAUAUUUGCUGAAAUAUUUAAAGAUAAAAUGGAAUAAUAUCUCAGGUUUGGUUAAAAAUAAUGGGUGGUGAUGGGGCACCUGGGUGGCUCAGUCAGUUAAGCGUCCGACUUCAGCUCAGGUCAUGAUCUCAUGGUUUGUGGGUUCGAGCCCCGCGUUGGGCUCUGUGCUGACAGCUCAGAGCCUGGAGCCUGCUUCGGAUUCUGUGUCUCCCCCUCUCUCUUCCCCUGUCAUGCUCAUGAUCUAUCUGUUUCUCAAAAACAAAUAAACGUUUAAAAAAAAUUUUUUUUAAAUAAUGGGUGGUGAAAUAUAAAGAAACAAAAUUGGUAAGGAUUUGGAUGGUGGGUGGCAGGUACAUAAAUUUAUUACCCGAUUCUAUUAUUUUAUAAAUACAGUAAAACUUUGGAUUGUGACUAACUUAUUCUGAGAGCGGUCUGCCAGACGAGCAAACAUUUUUAAUAAAUUUUAACUUGAUAAACAAGUGAUGUCUUGCAAUACGAGUAGCACAUUAGCCAAAUGUCACAUGAUCUCAACUGACCCGAUGUUUCUUGAAAUUUGCUCUGAUAUACAAGUGCUUUGGAUUAUAAGUAUGUUUCCGGAAUGAGGUUUUCCUGGUACUUGAAACUGUCCACUAUGAAAAGUUAAAAUAUAUUUAUACUAUUUCACACUUAACCAGUUGACAAAUUUUUAAAAAUCUGACAAACUCUAAGUUUGGAAAGGAUACAGGGGAAAAGGUAAACUCUCACAGCUGGUGGGAAUAUAAAUUCCUAUAAUUUUUGAGCAGGUUUUGUAUACAUCCCAUGAUCUAAAAAUUCUAAAUAUAUAUAUAUAUAUAUAUAUAUAUAUAUAUAUUCGUUCCAAGGAAACUUCAGCCCAUUAAGAGAUAUAUGGAAGCAUUUUUUAAUAGGAAAAAUGGGAAACAACCCAAAUGGAUAAAUUAUGGUAUCUUUGGACCGUAAGAGGUAGGGGGAGGCUAUGAAAUGUAGAGAUUUGGAAAUAGCAACUACAUGUGGAGAUAGGAGCCAGGGUCCCAUCAGGAUAGAUUAAGCUCAACCUAUGUUGACCUGUUACCCACUCUGGGCCAGGCCCUUUGCUGAGUGCUGAGGAUAUAGACGUGAUAUCCCUCAAAGGGUUUAAAGUCUAGAUAUCAGAGCUAGAGAGGGCCUGACCCUGACAUAUCAUUGAGUCCAACCUACCUAUAUUACAGAUGUGGAAAAUGAGGCCCGGAGAAAUUAAAUGACUUGCCAAGGCACAAUGUUGGUUUGUGGAGGAAGCGGGAAUUGAACCAGGUCUCUGAUGCUCAGCAGAAAACAGAUCUUGGAGCCAUACAUUCUUAAGUUGAAUCCCAGCUCUGCAACUUACUAGCUGUAACCUUGGCAAAGUUACUCUCUUUCCUUAGAAGUAUAAUAAUAAAUACUUCCUAGGUCAAUAGGAGGAUUAAAUGAAAUGAUAAUACAUAAAGCACUUGACCCAGUGACUGUAAAGGAAUAAAACCUCAAUGGAUAGGUUAUUUGCUUUUACUAUUGUUGAUACGAGGAAAAGCCUUAGCAAAAAGGACAAAAUGCUACAUUCUAUGUUGCUCUCAAAUGAUUAAAUCCACACUUGUUACAGCCAGGAUGGCCGAGGCUCUGUACCAAGUUGCAGACUUGUCCCAGGUCAGUUAGCUGCUCUGUGUUCCGGGCCCUCCCCACAGAAGGCACACGUAAAGGACUCUGCACCACCCUCUCACUCUGCUGUCUCUGCUCUCGGAGGUUCUGGCUGAGACAUGACAGCUCUGAUUUCUGUCAAUCCUGCUCCACUAACUGGAGCCCCAGCUCCCUGUGAGAUGAGGGUAACAGUAGAACCUACCUCAUGGGGUUGUUGUGAGGGUUAAAUGAACAAAUCCCUAGUGCAGGGUAAGCCCUCAAGAUACAGGAGCUAUGAUGUUGACCAGGCAAGCCAUCUAUCCCAGGGUGUCAGGAGACACAAAAAAGAAUCAGCUGUGUUUUUCGCCGACAGGGUGCUUCAGUCCAGUGGGGGAUAGUCAGAGGCCACGCCUUCCUUUCUAUUUUUCCCCAUGCUGUCACAUUUCAGGCCCGGAUUGGGGCCCAGGGGGCCAAGUGAUUCUGACUGUUUGAUCCUGCAGGGAAGCUGGCUCUAAAAAUGACCAGGCCAGACCUGCUAGGUCUGAACCCACACACACUCUCACCUCUUUUAGUGAGAACCCCAUUCCCAGCGCUGCAGAAUCCCUGACUACCUCAGGCUGCUGGAGCCAAAGCAUCACAUGCUCUGAAUAAUAAGGCCAUCCAGAAAGUUCCCUGUGGCGAGCUGGGCACCACACUCUGGUCUGCACCCUUGGGGCCAGGCAGCCAAAAAUAUCAUAAAAGGCCUGCCCUCAAAGCCGAGCUCCUGUCCCCGGUAUGCUGGAGCCAUGGGGCACAGGGAGUUUCAAUAUCCAGUUCCUUCCUUUUCCUGAUGCCUUCUCCUCUCAAUGAAACCAUGCAUAUUUUUCACCCAAGACCCUAUUUUUACAGAGCCUAACAAAACAUGUUCCCACUUGGCCCCAUGACCAUCGGUCCCAAUUUCCCCAACCCUAGAGAAUGAAAACCAUUAAGGAUCAGAGAAAGGAUUGCAAGAUGAAUGAAACCAGUUAAAUGUAUUUGGUUCUCCUGUAGAAGCAGGAGCGAAGUUGUUCUUUCAAGCCGGUAUCAAAGCUGUCGACUUGUAGCUGCUCACAGGCUGCAGGCUGGAGACACAGCCGGUCAGAUGGUGUAUUUGCUAUGCACAGCGAUCUCUUCGUGGGCAGGGGCUAUGUCUGCUUCCCCACUCUGCCCAGCACUCAGCACCCAACACAGUGCCUAGCACCGAAUAGUCAAUCAAAAAAUACCUAGGAAGCGAAUGAAGUUGCUUGGUCAGACAGUUAGCCGACGGGUUUAGAUGUCUCUGUUGCACACUUUCAUAACAGCCUGAACUGUUCCUUCUCAGUGCUUAUCAUGCUUGUAAUUAAAUAAUUACAUGUGCAAUUAUUUGUUUAAUGUGUGCCUCCCUGACAAGACUGUCAGCAACCUGGAGGCAGGGACUGCCCCCAGUGUUGUUCACUAUUCUAUCCCCAGUGCUUGGAAUGGGAUUUGGCAUAUACCUGGCACUCAAUGAGUAUUUGUUGAAUGAAUAAAUGAACACAGAUGGCAAAGAUGGCCACAGCCAGUGGGUCAACCCAUCUGUCAAUCUUGAGGGCCAACACUGCCGAAGGUGCUGAGUCCACUACCAGGCCAAAGGAAGCUGCCCUUAGGCCCUUUAUUUCAAGAUGCUGGCAGUGUUAUGAGAAAGCAUAGGGAGGGGCGCCUAGGUGGCUCAGUCCAUUGAGCGUCUGACUUGGGCUCAGGUCCUGAUCUCGCAGUUUGUGGGUUCGAGCCCUGCAUCAGGCUCUGUGCUAAAGGCUCAGAGCCCAAAGCCUGCUUCAGAUUCUGUGUGUGUCUCUCUCUCUGCCCCUUUCCAGCUUGCGCUCUGUCUCUCUCUCUCUCUCUCUCUCAAAAAUAAACAUUUUUUAAAAAUUUUAAAAAAAAAGAAAGCAUAGGGAGAGGGGUUUGCUAAUACCCAGGCUCAGCUGUUCUUAGAAAGAGCCUGCCCCCUAGGAAGUCUACCCAUUUACAAGAGAGACAAAAUGGAGUGGGAAGCAGCCUUUGCUGUUUAACUGGAGCCUUCUCUUUGCCUCUGGUUGGCGAUUUGGGACAGUUGGCCUAGAAGUAGAUGGACGAUUUCAGCCUGGAGUUCAUGGAAUCUACUUCGCAGAGUUGUUAUAGGACAAAAGGAGUAAAUAGAUGUGGAAAUCUUAACCACAGGACCUAACAGUGCACCAGUGCUCAGGAAUGCUAUGUGGGGCUACUGUUGUUGCUCUCAAUCCUCUGCCUCCCACGGCUGCCCUGUGAUGAAGGGCACCUUGGAUGGAGAACUUCACGGUGGAAGUCUGGUGAUAGGUGCUGGGCUUCACCAGAGCAUCUCCUGGGACCAACCUGACCACACAGCAGGCAAGAGGGAGUGAAUCAUCUAAGUGAUAGAAAGACAACUCAAACUGACUUAGGCAAAAGUUGGCCAACACAUCCCUUAAGUCCAGAUAGCAGUCUUACUUCAUGUACAGCUGGAUCCAGGAGCUCCAAUACUAUCAGGAUGUCUCCUCCCUGACUCCAUCACUCCAUACUGCUGUCUUCUGUACGAGCUCCAGUCUCAGAGAGGCUCAACACCCCACGUGGCUUACAUCCCAUCUCAAGUACCAGAAAAGAGAAAGUAUCCCCUCUCCAAAGUUGAGAUCAAACCCCCAGAAUUGAGUCUCAUUGGCUGUAAUUGAGUCAUAUGACUACUCUGAAGCCACGACUAUGGCCAGUGGUUGCAAGGCUCUGAUGGCAGAGCGAGUCACAUGCCCACCUCUAGGCAAUAGGCUGGAGUCAGUUCGGUGGAUGGGGAGGGGAGGGUCCCCAAGCAACAUAGAGUUGUUGUUGCCAGAGCAGGGGGAAUGUUGCUGGGGCAGCAAAAUAAAUAUGCACUGCAGAUUGCAAACCCUCUCUUUAGGUCAGAUGACAAGAGCAAUGGUACAGUGAGACCAAACAAACGUCAAUUCUGUCAGACAAAUAAAGUGAUAGGAUCUGGAAGGAUUCCCAGAGGGCAAUGGGGCAUUACUCAGACAUGUGCCCCAAACCCUGUUUUAUAGGGAUCAUACCAGGGUGCCUCACUUGCUUCAGGCACUAAAAUAGGGGAGGCCCCCCAAAGUUAGUAACCUAGGUAAAUAAUACUUGAACACAAUAUUUUAAAAACCAAAAUGAAUGCAAAAAAUCCACGAUGAACAAAAUUAGGAACUUAGCACCAACCUUGGUAUAUAGUUCUCAAUAAAAGUUUGCAUUAUCAUUUUUCAUUCUGGGAGAUUCCUAAGAGUAAGUUUACUGAGGAAUCAUGCACUAUGGCAAUAGUACAGUCUCCAUUCAUUCAACACCUGUUUAUUGCCUGUUUAUUAUGAAUGUGGCACCACGAGAGAGAUACAGUUCAUCUGGAUCCUACCCUGGGGAGCUCAUAGUCUGUAAUCUGAAUGGCAAGACCCACUGGCAAACAUCACCUCCAAAUAUUGUGAUUCGUGUUUUAAUGAAGGCCCAGAAACCUGCUAUAGGAGCCCAGGGGAAGGAGCUUUUUAAAAACCUUUAUGUAUUUAUAAAAAGGUAUAUACCUGUGUGUGUGUGUGUGUGUGUGUGUGUAUUUAUAUACAUAAUAUAUAUUUAUAAAAUAAAUAAGUCCUGGGGCUAUACCAUACAGCAUGGUGACUAUAGUUAUAAUAUUGUAUAUUAGGAAGUUGCUAAGAGAGUAUAUGUUAAAAGUUCUCAUCACAAGAAAAAAAAUUGUAACUAUGCAUGGUGAUGGAUGGUAAUUAGACUUAUUGUGGUGAUCAUUCUGCAAUAUAUACAUGGACCGAAUCAUGGGUUGUACACCUGAAAUAAUAUACUGUUACAUGUCAAUUAUAUUUCAGUAUUAAAAAACCCUUUUUUUUUUUAAUUUUUUUUUUCAACGUUUAUUUAUUUUUGGGACAGAGAGAGACAGAGCAUGAACGGGGGAGGGCCAGAGAGAGAGGGAGACACAGAAUCAGAAACAGGCUCCAGGCUCUGAGCCAUCAGCCCAGAGCCUGACGCGGGGCUCGAACUCACGGACCGCGAGAUCGUGACCUGGCUGAAGUCGGACGCUUAACCAACUGCGCCACCCAGGCGCCCCAAAAAACCCUUUUUAAGGAAAUGUUGAAACAUACAGAAAAGUAGAAAGAAUUGUAAACUGAAUACAUAUUGAUCAUGUAGAUUCAACAACUGUAAACAUUUCACCAUAUUUACCUCAUCUCACUAUAUGUUAAAUUUGUGGCUAAACCAUUUUAAAGUGAAUUACAGAUAUUCUAACACUUGAGCCCUAAACACUUAGCAUGCAUUUCCAAAAGCUAUAAGAAUUCUCCUUCCAUAACCACAGUAGACUUAUCUCAACUCACAAAAUUAACAAUAAUUUCCUUACAUCAUCUAAUAUCCAAUUCAUAGUCCAAUUCCCCCCAUUGUGUAACAACAUGGUCUUUAUAGCUUUAAAAGAAAAGUGAACCAAGAUACAAUCAAGAAUCACAUGGGGGGCCUAGGUGGAUCAGUCAGUUAAGCGUCAGACUUUGGCUCAGGUCAUGAUCUCAGUUUGUGGGUUUGAGCCCCUUGUCAGACUCUGUGCUGACAACUCAGAGCCUGGAGCCUGCUUUGGAUUCUGUGUCUCCCUCUCUGCCCCUCUCCCGCUUGCACUCGCUCUCUCUCUCAAAAAUAAAUAAACGUUAAAAUAAAAACUUUAAAAAGAAUCACAUCUCAUAUUUAGUUGUUGGACUCUUAGAUCUCUUUAAAUCUAGAACCUCCUCUCCCAUUGCUUUUGCUUUGUUUUCACGACAUUGACUUUUAAGAGAUCAUGCCAGUUGUCUUAUAAAUUGUCCCACAUUCUGGAUUUGUCUGGUUGCUUUUCUGGGUGUUAUUUAAUGUGUUCCUCUACCCCUGAAAUUCCAGUAAACUGCAGCCAGCUCUAAAGACCUGAUUAUAUUUACACUCAACAUUUUCGGCAAGAGCCAAAAUAGGUAAAACUGUGAAGUCUACUGCAUCCUGUUGGGAGGCAUGAAAUGCUGGUUGUCCCACCACUGGGGAUACUGUGUGGUCCCUGGGUUAAGGUGGUGACAGGCAGGUAGAGGAGGAAGCAACUGGGAAGGAUGGUUAAGUCUUCACAGUGACGUUUAAAAAAAAUUUUUUAAAUGUUUAUUUACUUUUGAGAAAGAGAGAGACAGAGUGUGAGCCAAGGAGGGGCAGCGAGAGAGAAGGAGACACAAAAUCGGAAGCAGGCACCAGGCUCUAGCUGUCAGCACAGAGCCAACGCGGGGCUCGAACCCACGAACCGUGAGGUCAUGCCUUGAGCUGAAGUCUGGUGCUUAACUGACUAAGCCACCCAGGCGCCCCCACAGUGACAUUUGAAUAGGGCUUUAAAGGGUGUGUAGGAGCCUACCGGGUGGAGAAAAGGGAAGAGGAAGGGUUUUCCAGGUAUACAUGCAGGCACAGUGUUGGGAAAGAGAAUGAUUGGCUUUAGGAAGUAGGAGGUGGUAGCCAAAUGUGGUUGAGAGCUGUCAUAACAACACCAAGCACUUAGGGUGAGUUUACCAUGUUCCAGGAACUAUCCUAAGUGACUCAUUUAAUUCUUCACACAGUCCUAUGGAAUGGGUGCUACCACCCCCAUUUUAAGGGUGUGGAGUCACAGUUGAGUGAUAUGUGGUAACUUGCCUAAGGUCACAUAGCUAGAAACAGGCAGACUCGGGAUUUGAAUCUGGGUGCCUGACUCCUGGGCCUCUGCAUUUAAAAAUCACCAAGUUCUGUGUUGAGGUCACAGGGCAAAGCAGCUGGGGAGGCAGGUUGGGGGCAGGUGGAGACAGGCCUUCUAGUCACUCUGAGUUUGGGUGUUCUUCCCGCCGCAGUGGGGAGCCAGUGAAGGUUUCCGGGUUUGGGCAUGGCUGUGUCUGGGAACGCACACCCUGGAACUCAGCCCUGUGAAGGAUGAGUGGACAGCUGCUGGGGUGAGCUGUUAGGGGGAAGGGUGGGCGUCCCUUCAGGCGAGCGGGACCCUGGUGAACAGAGAUCGAGGGAGGAAUUCAAGUGUCUCCCGGACCUGUGCGCGGACCCUCAACUCUCCCGGGCGUCGGAGGGUUGGGGGAAGGGGUUAGAGGUGGGAAGAGGGGGUGGGGUGGGCUAGGUUCUGCGGGACGCCUGCAGCCUUCCCGUGCGCACUCAGCCACCGGGGCGGGCUGGAGCCGGCUGGGCGCGGCACUCCGGGACCCCAGCGCCCUGCGAGCCGCCCCGGUUUCCACCGCAUCGUCUCCCCGUCCCAGCAACUGGUCGGCCACAUCGCGGUGAGUCGUGAGUGGCAAAGACCGGGUGGAGGGACCAGCUUUAACCUCCGAGAGCCAGCGGGCGGGGGAGGGGGGGGGGAGCGACGGGCCCAGGAUCAGUCAGAUCUCAGCAGAGGCAGGACUAGAAGUUGCGUGGUGCCUCUUAAUUCUAAAUCCGCUUCUUUUUCAGGAUGGAGUCUAUUUCAGAAUCAAAGAGGGAUCAAGACAAAACCGCUUUGGACUAGCCACUGGGAAUGCCAAACACUCUGGGGACUACCUCCUUUUUAAAAUUUAUUAUCUCCCCAUUUGAGGAAGCUUCUCUGAGGGACGGGGCGGCCACAGAAGCGGGGGUUCCGGGCAGACCCCUGGCUGGCUCCUGUGGCACAGCCCCUCAGCCAGUGCGUCUGUCAUCCCCUCCUGGCCUGCGUGUCCUGAGGGGCACGACCAGUCGGGGAGGUGGGGGUGCCCACCGUGUUGGGGACUCCCAGCUGUCUGGGCUCUGGCUGUUCGCCCUUCAGCCUAGACAGGGAAGGUGCGGGGAUGGAGUGGAACUGCUCUGGGGCCAGGCUGCCUGGUUCAAAUCUCUGCCCUCACUCACCAGCCGUGCAACCUUGAGCUGAGCACUUCCCCCUCUCUGUGCUUCUAUUUUUUCAAAAUUUUUUUUGAAAAUAUUUUUAAUGUUUAUUUUGGAAAGACAGAGAGAGACAGAGCACAAGCAGGCGUGGGGCGGAGAGAGAGGGAGACACAGAAUCUGAAGCAGGCUCCAGGCUCUGAGCUGUCAGCACAGAGCCCCACUGCGGGGCUUGAAGUCACGAACUGGAAGAUCAGGACCUGAGCCAAAGUCGGACACUUGACCGACAGAGCCACCCAGGCACCCCCUAUUUUUUCAUUUUUAAAUUGGUGAAAAUAACAGUGCUUCCUAGGGUUUGGUAUGAGGAUUAAGUAACAUAAGUAUUCAAGAGCCUAGCAAGGUGCUUGCCACAUGAUAAAGGCUGGUUAUUAUUUUUAUUUUUUAAAUGUUUAUUUAUUUAGUGCAUGGGGGGGGGGGGCACAGAGUGAGGGAGAGAGAAAAUCCCAAGCAAGCUCCAUGCAGAACCCCAAACCAGGCUCCAUCUGAUCUGACUAACCCAUGAGAUCAUGACCUGAGCUGAAAUCAAUUGUCCCACGCUUAACAGACUGAGCCAUCCAAGGUUCCCCAAGCUGGUUAUUAUUAUUAAUCUGGGAGUCGGGAGGCUUGGAUGCCUGGCACUCAUUUACCUAUGAAUCGGACAAACAUUCCAGAUCCUGAAUAAAACCUGCCUUCUCCACAAAGUCCACCCAGAUUAACUGCACUGUUUAAAGCCUUCCUUGAUUCACAGAAUCUAAAGCACAGCUGACAUGAUCUAAACUAACUAUAACUGGGGUGGGGAAGAGCAGCCUGGUUACCCCCUUCCCCACAGCACUAACCUAGACUCAGAAGGCUUGGGGGUUGUAGUGCAGCCCCCCACUAGCUACUUACUCGGAUAACUCACUUCAUCUUUGUGAUUCAGUAUCCUCUUUCAAUGGGGGGUAAUAAUUCCUCUUUUAUCUGCCUUGCAAGACAAAAAAUUCAGAUUCCUGACUACUUUGAGAAUGGAAGGAAACAAGCAUAUAAAAUGUUUUUUUCAAAGCAUAUUUAAUAACCCAGAAAAAUGAUGCCAACAUGCAAUGUUUACUUCUCCGUUGUAAAUUUCUUAUUUAAAUUUUUUACAGAAAGAUGCAUUAUUAUAUUCUCACGGUAAAACAUUCAUAGGAUAAUGUUCAUCAAAAAAGGGCAAUCAACUGUAUAUGAAAUGUGACCCCUACUUCAUUUUUUAAAAGUAUAAAUACACUGAAAAAAAUAAUAAAGGUAGGGAGCCUGGGUGGCUCAGUCCGUUAAGCAUCCGACUUCAGCUCAGGUCGUGGUCUCGGGAGUUCGAGUGCCUCAUCCGGCUCUGUGCUGACAGCUCGGAGCCUGGAGCCUGCUUCAGAUUCUGUGGCUCCCUCUCCCUGCCCCUCCCCUGCUCGUGCUCUCUCUCUCUCUUUCAAAGAAUAAAUAAACAUUAAAAAAAUUUAAAAAAAUAAAAAUAAAGGUAAGGAAAUCCACCAACAUAUUAACAGAGUUACCUCUGGGUGGCAGGAUUACUGAUGAUUACCUUCACCUCUAUUUUUCUAAAUUUUCCUUUUUCUAAUAAGCAUACGAUUUUUGUAAACAGAAGAAAACUACAGUUUUUUUUAAAUGUGUUUGAAAACAAUCAAGGCCAAGCAAAAGCAAGUUAGAGGUCACCUAUGUGUGAGUAAUCAGAAACCUUUUAAGAUUAAUAUUCUGCCUUUAGGAAGCACCCUGUCUCCCGACCAUGGGUCAGUCCACGUUUUAUCUUCUUUGAAAGCCCCAUGCAGAGCUCCCCACUCUUUUGGCUUCCAGAACUUCACCAGCCUCCUUGGCCCAGAGUUCCUGCUUAUGAAGUCAGGCCUGGCUUGGCCAGGGCAGCUGUGGGCUGUGCUCUGUGGAGCCGUAGAAGACCCUGAAAUCCCGGCCAUUACCAGCUCACUUAGUUAACUGAGGAGGCCUGUUAUUUACCAGUUCAAAAAAAGAGCUGGGGCAUUCGUGCUCCCUCACUUUGGGUUAUUAUGCCUUUUCUGGGUGUUCUUUACAGGCCAUGAGGAACUUCUGAGUCCCCCCACAGCUUUACUGUGAUUUACAGCUAAAGGUUUACAGCUCAAAAACCUUCAAUGGCUUCUCAUUUCCUUCAGUUGGUAUUUGCCAACUUCCUUAGUCUGGCAUUUCAAUGCCUGUACCCUCUGAACCAAGUUUCCUUACAUCUCCAGUGGGUCAAUCAAAUGGUCUUCUAGCCAGCUGCACAGUGGGCCACGAAGGAAGAGUAAUAAGCAAGGAAAGCUGGGUGUAAGAACGCACUGGGGAAAGGUAGGGGCUGUGGUGAACUCCAGCAAGCACAGACUUUCCAAAGGGACUGUCACUUUUCAGUGCCAGUCAAUUGUUCGUUGGUGGCAUCUUCCAGUUUUUUAAAGAAGAUCAGGAAAUCCGGAUCUUUAUGUGAAAUCUCAUGAUUUUUAAAAAAAUAUUGGCAGCUAAUUCACAAAACACAUUUAGCCAGUCUGCUGAUGGUAAUUUGUGACUGGUCAUAGGAACACACUGAACUCUUCUCUCUCUCUAUACCUUUGCUUUUGCUGUUCCCACUGCCAAGAACACCGUCCCACCCAUCUGAAUCUGGUGAACUCCACCUAUUCUGUCAGGUAGCUAAAACACCUCUUCCAUGAGCACCCCUGGAUGACCUCUGCUGGAAGGGGCAUCUCCCUCCUUGGGGCUGCACCAGUCAUUCAGCUCUGUGCCUGUCCAUCUCAUGCCAUAGCUAUUUCCACGAGUCCGAUCUCCCCUGGUAGAUAAUGAGCUCCUGAAAUACUCAACAAAUAUUUAUGGAGCACCUGCUUUGUUGCAGGCACCAGGCUAAGCACUGGGAAUCCAGAACUAGAUGGAUAGACGUUGCCUUGAUGGAAUAUAGAGUCUACUACAGGGGGAAGAUUUUAAAUAAACCAUUCCCAAGAUACCUAAUUCCAAUUGUGAUGAGUUUUAUGAAGUUAAGAAAGUUUAUAAAGGAGCUUAAUCCAGGCAGGAGGAUUAAGCAGGUCACGAGGCAGCUUGGGGGAAGGAAGCAUUAGCACUCGGGCUGCUACAUAAGGUUGCAUAGUUUGUAUACUGCACAAAGGUAACCAGCUGAGAGGGCAGGCGAGAGCUGCUUGCUUGCCCAAGCUGUGCCCUUUUCUAAUUUGCAGAAAGGCAGGGGACAGUGUUUAGUUCCUCUGACCCCCCGACCUCCCUCCCCCACCCAGCCAAAAGCUGCUCUAAAUAAAUGUAGAAUCUAAGUAAAAAUGGUGACUUCCCUAUUUAUGUGCAGCCUCAAGAGAUGGAACCAUUCUCCCUUUCUACCAGAAUAUACCCCCGAAAUCCUUACUUGAAAGAUUCUGGGGGUCAAGGAGGGCAUCUCUGAGGAAGUGACAUUGGAACUGAGGCUGCAGGAUAAGAGGCCAGGCAGGUAGAAGUAUGAGGAACAACAGCAUGUGCCAGGCCUCUGAGGAAAGUACUGUGGCAGACACCUAAUAAAUGUCCAGCAUGAGACAGAGAGGGGAAGGACAGGAAGGGGUGGGCUGGGUAGUGAUCAUACCAUGCAUGGCCUAGGCCAUAUUAGGGGGGUUGAUUUUUAUCCUGAAAUGUCUUAUAUACUCCCCCUCUCGAACCAUGCUACUGAUGGGUGUCACCGCUCAUGGGCAGGCCCAUAGAGUGCACGAUACCAGAAACUACCUUUACAGAGCAUCCAUCAUGAACCGUACACUAUGCUGGGGCCACGUGUCCAGUCCAUUCUUCCUUUCCCAGCCUCCUAAGGAAGUAAGUAUUCUCAGUAUUUUCUGAUUCCAAUUGCACAGAUGAAGAAAACUGAGGCCCACAGAGGAUGAGCCAUCUGCCCAACAUUACCUGGCAACUCAGGGGUGGGCAGGGAUCUACGCCCAGGUCUGCGGGAUUCUGAGCCCCUCCUUUGGGUUACCAUGUAGCAAUGAUCCUCAUGAAUAAACAGAAGGCACAAGGAGUCCAGAGCCUUUGCCGGUCAGGGUGGGGACUCGGGGCUUGCAGUAUUGGCAUCAUCUGGAAACUUGUCAGAAGUGUAGGCUUUGCAAGUUCUAUCCCAGUACCACUGACUUAGAAUCUACAUUUUACAAGACCCCUGUACACAUCACAGGCUGAGAAGCACUAGAAAGCAGUCCAAGCAAUAAUAACCCUUCCACAACAGCCUAGUGUCUCGCAGGCCAGGUCUCCUGUGACUUGAAAACAGCUUAUUAUAACCAAAUUUGUCAGAAUUGCCAACUGUUCCAUCCAUCCACCUGCCCCAGUUUUGCCUUCUGUUGUGACUCCAAGAGAAAGACUAUUAGAAUAUACCAUCAACUCCAGGGAGGGGUUUCUGCUCAAUUUCUUACUAUGAUCUCACCCAGGAAUAAAUAUAAAGCCGUUUGACCCUUCUCCGGGCUAAUUUCUGCUCCAAAUCAUCUUCCAUUGGGGGCCCACUCUGACCCCCAGAUCAUGUUCUGGGACCCACCUUUCACAAGACAAUUCCCUUUCUCUGUCUGCAUAUCUGAGGAGGCAAAAUGGCUUGUCAGAAAAGAUUAAUGGGUGAGAAAAAGCUGGAAUCUCUUUAGCAUUAAGGCCACAUGUUGUGUGACUCUGGGAAACUUCCACCUCCACUUCCUCACCGGCAUCUGAGAAAUGGGUAGCUUGGACAGAACUAGGAGUCGCUAGAUCAAGGGUUUGGCAGGUAACAUAAAGGAAGUUGAGUGGCCUAGGUGAAAUAGAAAAGGAUAGAAGGAGAUGAAACAGAAAUAGUGGGGACUGUGGCAAUGACUGAAGGCAAUGCCCUGACUAAAAAAGGCAGCUACACCUAGCGUUAGGCAACUGUUGUCCUGGGAAAUAGGGGUCCAGUGUUGUUAGGGAUUCUAAUUUCUCAAGUGUUGCGAAUCUGAUUUUCCCACUCUGUGAAAUAUCAUAUGGUUUUUCAAUGCUGGCAUCUGGCUAAAAAUUAGACACUCUGUGGGUCACAUAAGAGAUCAGGAGCACGGCACAUCUGCCCGUGGGCCGUCAGCUUGAGAUGCCUGGCCUGGAUGCCACCCUAAUGUGGUAAGCUUAGGACUCCAUUCUACGUGUAGAUCUUUUAGAAUGCCGCAAAGCGGCUGCUGCAAGAGCGGCCGAAUCCGCGCCCUCCGGGGCUGGCCACCCCUCCCCACUGCGGCCCCGGCCCCCAUCGGUGCCCCCUCCCAGGCCUCUCCGGCAGAGGGGCUUGCACGGGGACUCCGACCCGUUCGCGGUGCCGGUGAUGGGGCGCACGACGUCGCUUUCUUCUCACUCUCCCUACCUGCUCGCCCGCUGCCGCCGUACGCCGCAGCGAUGACUCAGCCUCCGGCGGCCCUGGCGCGGCGGGGGAGGGGCGAGGGCGAGGGUGGGGAGGAGAGGGAGGAGGAAGGAGGGUAGACGGGAAAGGGAGGGGGCUGAGAGGCGGCAGAGGAGGGAGGGGGGAGGAGAGGGGCGGAGCAGAGGGGAAGGAGGGGGAGAGGCGGAGAGGAGGAGUGGGAGGGCGGAGAGGGGAGGCGAGAGGAGAGAAAGGGGCGGGGCUCCGGGAGGCCGAAGCCCCACCCCCCCGCUGCUGGGGGCCUGCGGACUGCUGGCUAGCAGGGUGCGGGAAGCGGGGUGGAGAAUAGUGGAGGGGCGCGGCUGGGAGGAGAAGGGAGGGUCGUAUGCUACCCCCCAUUGAUCCCCUCUCUCGAAAGCGCUUGUGGAAGUACACCCCCUAGCCACACCCACAGGCCACCCUUGCCCUUGCUGGAGCAGUGCCAGGGAAUGCACCUUUAGCCACUAAAGGUAGCCCAAGAGCCCAAGAGACCGAGAUGAAAGAGCCGGAGCCCUGCAUCCUGGGGCCUUGCGGGUGAGAGAAAACCUACGUCGCCUAUCCACAAGUGCAAAUUUAAAGGGAGAAAUGAUCUAGUGGCACAUUGUGCUGGGCUUACACAAAUAAGUAGCUGGAAACACAAGGUGGGAUUUGGAAGGUGCCCUAAGGAAGUUUCCUUAGCAACUUUCUGAUAAUAUAAAUGAAUCUAUGAAUGAAUAAAACGUGCUGUGGGAACAUACUUGUGUGUCUAUGAGGGGCUAAUGUCUUUAUGUGUGUUCAUGUGUGUUUGGGAGGAUGUAUAGGAGUGUGUGUGUGUCUUGGGUGAUGUAUGUACUCGUAUGUUUAUGCAUGUAAGUGCAUUGAUAGCUUCGUAUGCAUCUGUGUGCCCAGAAUGUGUCUUUGUGUAUAUGUAUAGGUGUUUAUGUGCCUUAAUAUUAAACUUGUGUGUCGGUGAGAUCUAGGGGCACGCCUGAGUUUGUAUGUAAAUAUAUAUAUGUACAAGAAUUUAUAUAUUUGUGUAUGUGACUACGUACUCCUUAGGUGUGUAUUGCUUUUAUGUGUCAAUGUCAUAUGUGGGCAGGGCCGGGGAGCGGGAGAGCAUGUGUCUUGGUGAGACUGUGUUAUGGUGAUGUGUCUGUGUGUAUGAGAAUACAUUUGGGUCUGACCAGGGCUCCAGUAUGUCUUGAGGCUGCAAGUGUGUGUCUGUGUGUAUGAAUGAGAACGUAUGUGUUUUUCGGAGUCUGUAUGGAUGUAACUAUGUGUGUGUCUUGAUGUAUCUCUGUAGCUAUCCUGCGGAUUCCGUCUGAGAUAAGGAGCAUGUGAUUCUUUGUUUCCAGUUUUACUGAAAAAUAAUUAACACACAUUGUGUAAGUUGAAGGUGUGCAGCAUGAUGGCUUGAUUUACAUAUAUUGUGAAAUGAUUACCACAAUAGGUUCAGCUAACAUCCAUCUUCUUACGUAGAUACAAUUAAAAGAAAAGAAAGAAGAAAAAAGGAAAAAAAUUUUCUCCAUGUGGUGAAAACUCUUAGGAUUUACUCGUAACAAUGUUCUGAGGUAUCAUACAGGAGUGUUAGCUAUAGUCAUCAUGUGGUACAUUACAUCCCUAGUCUAACUGGAAGUUUAUAUUUUUUGGACCACCUUCCUCCAUUUCCCCCUCUGCCCCCCACUUUGGUAACCACAAGUCUGAUCUCUUUUUCUAUCAGUUGUUUUUUAUUUUUGUUUUUAGAGUCCACAUUUAAGUGAGAUUAUACAGUAUUUAUGUUUCUUUGACUUAUUUCACUUAGCAUAAUGUCUUCAAGAUCCAGCCAGGUUGUGGCAAAUGAUAGGAUUUCCUUGUUUUUUUUAAGGAUCAUGUGAUUUUUUUUUUUUUUUUUACUGUUUAUUUAUUUUUGAAAGACGAGCAUGAGCAGGGGAGGAGCAGAGAGAGAGGGAGACACAGAAUCUGAAGCAGGCUUCAGGCUCUGAGCUGUCAGCACAGAGCCCCAUGAGAGGCUCAAACCCACGAACUGUGAGAUCAUGAACUGAGUGGAAGUCAGACGCUUAACCAACUGAGCCACCUAGGUGCCCCACGGGUAAUUCUUUAAGUUUACAUCUUUAUUUUGAAGGGGGGAGGGACAGGGAGGGAGGGGGACAGAGGGUCCAAAGCAGGCUCUGAGCUGUCAGCACAGAGCCUGAUGUGGGGCUUGAACCCACAAGCCUUGAGAUUAUGACCUGAGCCGAGGGCAGACACCGAACAGACUGAGCUACCCAGGCGCCCCAUGGCCAUGUGAUUCUUAAGGGUUGGGCUAGUGGAGGUGCUUCUUGGAGGAAGAGGCCCUUGGCGGGCAUGGGGUGGGGACCGUGGAAGUAGGAAAAAGAUCUGGUUGUGCCAGCCCAGUGACCAUCCAGAGUAGUGACAGGUUGGGCCAACAAUGUAGGCUAAAGCAAGACCUUGAAUGCCAAAAUGAUUCUUUGCGGCCUCCUUGGGCCCUCCCAGGUGCUUGGUCUGUUUCUCUAGUGGCCUCCUCACUGUUUAUCUUGCCAGUGCUCUUCUGCAGAGUGCACGUCCUUGGUAAUUAACAAUAGCAACAUUAUGGUGCACUCACUGUAUGCUAGACCCCCAAAGUCAUGAAUGGGCAUUGGUUCAGUUCUGUGAGGCAGAAAUCUAAUAUCCCCAGUUUUACAGAGGGGAAACUGAGUUGGUCAAGUGCCUAUUCCUGUUUACACAGCUAAGAAGGUGCCUCUGGUGCCUCGGACUCCAGAGGCUGCCUCCUUCUCAACUGCUAGACCAGGGUCUUGCAAGCUUGGCAUUAUUAACAUUUGAGGCCAGAUAAUCCAGUGAUGCGGGGCUGCGCUGGGCACUGUGGGAUGUCCAGCAGCAUCGUCAGUCUCUACACACUGGAUGCCAGUAGCAACUCCCUCCCCAGUUGUGACAAGCAAGAUGUCUCCAGAUAGUUCCAAAUGUCGGAACGUCUGGGUGGUUCAGUCGGUUGAGCGUCCGACUUUGGCUCAGGUCAUGAUCUCGCGGUCUGUGAGUUCGAGCCCUGCGUCGGGCUCUGUGCUGACAUCUCAGAGCCUGGAGCCGGGAGCCUGCUUCUGCUUCUGUGUCUCCCUCUCUCUCUGCCCCUAACCCACUCGCAUUCUGUCUCUGUCUCUCUCAAAAAUAAAUCAACAUUAGAUAGUUCCAAAUGUCCCCUGGGGACAGAAUCACCCCUCCCCCCCCGACUGAGAACCACUGCCCCCCUGGAUAAAUGUUUCCUGAGGGGCUGCACUGUCUCCACCAGGUCAGUGGCUGCAGCUGUCACGGCGACCCUCAUUUUCGUGCAGGUAGCCCCUUCCCUUUGCCACAAACAGAAGGUUUACCAGCUGGGCCACCUUGUUCAGCAACUGAACCUCUAUGCACCCCAGCCACAGAAAGCUUGGCACUUCAGUGAUACCUCUACAGCCCUUACUAUUAUCGUUCAAGUCACAGGGGUUUCCUGGGGUGCGAAUGUGGAGAAAGAAGGCCCCACGCCAGCCAGCUCUCUGGCCCAGAGCUAUAAAUGCUGCUGCUGCUUCUGCGAGUUUGCUUUCCUGGUUCAGUGAGAAUACAAUGCUAUAGUGUUGAGCCAAAACUGGUCCCGUUUGACGCUAUCAUCAUUAUGCAGUUUCAUUUUCGCAAAUAAAACAGCCUGACUCUCCCCAUCAGCAGAGCCUGGUUUUAACGAGCAAGAGCUACAUUACAGCCAGAGCAGGUGCUCAGGAAAGGCAAGGUGGAGCCAUUAGCAGGGCUCUGCCUGUCCAGGCUUGGGCAGAGCAUCCAUGCUGCUGGGCAAGGGCCUGGAUGGCAGCUGGAGGGGAGAGCCGUAGCAGUGCCAGGCAAGCAGGAGGCCUCAGGCUCCUGCUACAGACAAGACAGAGGCGACAACACCUGCAAAGGACUUUCACACCACUCCUGUCUCUGGCACUCCGGAAACUUUCAUCUCUUGCCUGUGUGUUCCUGUACUGUGCUAUCUCUCCCUGCACUCCUAUUCUCCUGCAAUCCCCGCGGUGUUCUAUGUUCACAGGGCCUCCGUCCAUUUCCUCUUGGGGGGCUGUAGAGCAAGGUGGUUAAAGACGGAGGUUCUGGCACCUCAUUACCUGAGUCUGUGUGACCUUGGGCAAGGCACUUCACCUCUCUGUGCCUCAGCUUCCUCAUGUCUAGAGUGGGGAUACUGAGAGGCCCUAUCUGGUAGGGCUAAAUGAGAUAGUACACGUAAAGGAUACAAGACAUCUACUGAGCCCUGAAUAAAUAGCAGCUACCACUAUUGCUGUGAUUCUUGAUGAACAAUGAAUGCAAAUGAACACUUAUUUAUUUGCCGGGCCCUGUGCUAAGCCCCGGACAAUUUUUUUCUCAUUGGAUCCCUUCAACAGCUCUGGAAGGAAAGUGCUAUUAUUAUCCUCACAGCAGAGAAAGGAAGCUCAGAUACCAUGAUGCUAAGUGACUUACUCAGGGUGACAGAGCUAAGAUGAAUCUGAACCUGAGUGUUGUCACUGCAAAGUCUAACCACCCUGAUCUUCUCCGCUGAAAGCAGAUUUCUCCAUAGGAAGGGGGGCUCCUCUCCAGCUGGGGUGUGCAGAGGAAAUAUGGGAGGCAUGGAGAAGGCAGGGAGGUGCCUGGGCAGAAGGAGGGGGUCGGCUUAAAAGUUGCCCUUUUUCGGGGCGCCUGGGUGGCGCAGUCGGUUAAGCGUCCGACUUCAGCCAGGUCACGAUCUCGCGGUCCGGGAGUUCGAGCCCCACGUCAGGCUCUGGGCUGAUGGCUCAGAGCCUGGAGUCUGUUUCCGAUUCUGUGUCUCCCUCUCUCUCUGCCCCUCCCCCGUUCAUGCUCUGUCUCUCUCUGUCCCAAAAAAAUAAAUAAACGUUGAAAAAAAAAAAAAUUAAAAAAAAAAAAAAAAGUUGCCCUUUUUCAGCUUUUGAUGAAAUCCCUAGCACAGUGGACUGUGGUCUCAUGACCUCCGAGGGGUGGUGCCAAGUUUUUAUCAGUGUAUGAAGUUUAUUUUUAUUCUGAGCCAGGGUAUAUAUUGUUCUGGUGCUUUUUGUUUGAAUUGGGUUGUAGGAAAGGUACAGAAUGCCAUCACAGGGACAGACGGGAGGCCCGUUUUAGAGCUGAUGCCAGAGAAAGAUGGGGUGCUUAUCAGGAGCUGUGAGAACGUGGCCAGGUGAGCGUAUAAGAGAGGAUGGUCUGUGCCGAAGUGUUCUUCCAACUCUCGGGGACCAAGAGAGUCAUGUGGCAAUUGUUUUGUUUUCCUUUAAAGAUAUCCAAGGUAUCAUUUUUCCUUGUGCUGUGAUUGUGUAAUUGUAUUAGUUACCUAUUGCUAUGUAGCAAACGAUCCCAAACCUUAGUGGCUUAAAACAAUUAUUUAUUAUCUCCCAAGUUCCUGUGGAUCAGGAAUUCAGGAGUGAGUUAGCUGCACAGGCUCUGGCUUGUAGUUGCUCAUGGAGUACUAAGGUAGGUGCUAGCAUAGAUCUUUUGUAAAAGCAAAGUGGCAUAAUGCAACCUUUCCAAAAGUAAGGGACGACUAUAUAUGGACAUACGAUUAGUUAACUAUUUCCCCUAUUGUUGUGUACUCGGCUUCUAAGUUUUUCUUGUUACCAAUGAGGUUUCAGUGAACAUUUUGGAGCCCGGAGCUCAUCACAUGCUGAGGGCUGUCCUAGGUACCUAUUGUUUGUGUACCUCAUUUAAUCCUUCACCAGACAAAGGAAACUCAGCCAGACAACGACACUUUCAGGCUUUUGUCUAACUCAGAGUGCUUUUUAAGGAUGGAGAAUUCCUUGUUUUCUCAGCCCUAAAGUUCUUUAUUCCACUAGGGCCCCUGAGGAGUACUUAUCUUGCACUCUGCAAACCUGUGUUUAAAAAAAGGACAGGUCCUGGGGCGCCUGGGUGGCUCAGUCGGUUAAGCAUCUGACUUCGGCUCAGGUCAUGAUGUUAUGGUUUGUGAGUUCGAGCCCCGCGUCGGGCUCUGGGCUGACAGCUCAGAGCCUGCUUCAGGUUCUGUGUCUCCCUCUCUCUCUCUCUGCCUCUCCCCCAGUUGCACUCUGUCUCUCUGUCUCAAAAAUAAAUAAACAAUAAUAAUAAUAAAAAGGACAGCUUAUCACUAGGCUCACAGUAGGUAGGGCCCACCAGACAUGGCCCUGUAGCAGGCAGGAUAGGCCAGGUUAUGCUGCAGUGACAAACAACCCCGAGAUAAGGGCUUAAGGCAUUGGUCAUGGGGUCGCCAUAGGUUCUGUUGUGUGUUGUCCCCAACCUGAACACUGCCGGUUGCCGUUCCAGGAGGCAAGAGAGAAUGUAGUCAAAGGCACACUGGCUCCUCAAGCUUCACCUGGAAGUGACUUGUUACUUCCUCUCACUCUUUUUUUUUUUUGAUGAAGCAAAUCCUAUAGGCUUAACUCUAAAGGGGAAGUGACGUGUGUUCUCCCGUGUGCCCCAAGUGGAGAGAACUGGAAUAUUUGGUGAACAGCACGGAUGACUGCCACAGGCCUUGUCCUCUGUUGAUCACUGAAAACAGUCUGGCAAUCCUAACCACAUUUUGGAAUAACGAAGUCCAGACCAGGAGUGCCCAGGGGUCUCUUAGCAUUCUGUCCCUGAGGAAAGACCCUUGCCUGUAAACCCCCUCUUGCCCAUACUGUGAAGCCCAGCUGCCUUGAAUCUCUGGGCCCCAGGAUAUAAGGAGAACAGAGGAGUCUGGGUCCAGGGACACAGUUGGAUCCCACCCGUGACCAGGGGUACGGUGGUGGAGCUCUGAAUUCUGAACUGUAUUUGUCAGAGUGACUAUGGGUCUGUGCUGUUGGGUAGUAGAAAGGGCAUUUGACUCCUCUGUGACCUUGGAAAUGUCAUCUGGAAACAACCUACAUGGACCUCAAAGGGGAAUGGAUAUACCAGCUAGAAUACUAAAUACUAAAGAGAAAUGAUUCUGAGUAUAUAUGUAUGCAGAUAUACCUAGAAAACAUAAUGCUGAGAAGGGAGGGAAAAAAGCAAGUGGUGGAAUGAUAUGAUAUGUGCAGUUUGAUGCCAUUUAUGUAAUUUUGAAAUACAUACACUAAACAAUACUGCCCAUAUUGUGUUUUGCAUACGAUAGUCGAUAGUGGAUAGUGGGCUGGCUGAGGGGCUGUGGGGAGGAGGGACAGGGCAGAGAUGGGGGCAAACGGGGCGUUGAGUCUAUUUGUAAUUAAAAAAAUAAAAACACAGGAUUAAGCAAAUAUAACUAAUUCUUAACAGUUGUCAAUUCUGAGGAGGAGACUUGGAUGUUUGUAAUAUUACUGUUUGUAUUUUUUGUGUGUUUUUAGAAUGCAAGCUUGUGUUUUUAGAAGGCUCAUCUUGCUAGGUCUCAGUUUCCCCAUCUCUAAAAUAAGGUAGUUCAUCUAGAACAGUGGAUGGGUAUCAGAUAACAGGACUUCACAGACCAAUGAAAUUGCAGGCAAAAAAAUGGGAACAGGGAUGUCCAUUUAAAAUUUUUCCCAGAAUAGAUUUUAAAAAAUGAAUGAUCUAUUCUGAUCAUGAUUUCAGAGAAAGAACACUUUAAUGUGAAACUAGUGGGAAGGACACAAUCACAGAAUAGAGAGUUGAAUAAGAUUUUAGUCUUGUUUUCCAGUAACUUAGUGAAAGAAACACGUACUCACUGUAGAACAUUUGGAAAAUGUAUUACUAACAGAAUAAAAAUUACCCAUCUUUAUUCUUAACACCCAGAGGGGGUAAUUACCAUUAACAUUUCAGCUCUUUCUUCACAGUAUUUAUUAAACAGAUCUAGUGGGUGUAUUUGUAAUUUAUAUGUGGCUUCUGUGCCUUCUUAUUGUAAAAGCAACACAUUAAUGGAAAUUUAGAAAAAAAAACAAAAGGAAAUGGAGAUAUUAAUAUUAAUAGGCUUUCUCCCAUAUUAAUUUUUCUCAUCUCACCUUAAAUCAAAGAAAACUUCCACAAAUAGGUGUUUAGAAAUAAUAAUAAGAAAGAAUAAUAAUAAAUGGUAUUUGUUGAGCCUUCCUAUGUGCCAAACCUUGUGCUAAAAGCUACAGAGGGCUCAUCCCACUUUGUCCUCACCACAAGCCUGAAGUGGAAACUAUUAUUGUCCCAUUUUACAGAUAUGGAAGUUGAAGUUCAGAAAGGUGAAGUAAAAGCUUGCUCAAGGGGCACCUGGGUGGCUCAGUCGGUUAAGCCUCCUACUCUUGAUUUCAGCUCAGGUCAUGAUCUCAUGGUUUCAUGGGAUCUAGCCCUGCAUCAAGCUCUGCACUACAGCGUGGAGCCUGCUUCGGAUUCCUUCUCUGCCUUUCUCUUUCUCUCAAAAUAAAUAAAUAAACACACAAAAAAAUUUUGCUCGAAGUUAUACAUCUGGAACCCGACGUACAGAGAGGUUAAGCAAACCGUGUCAGUUCCCACUUUACCUCCAGGUGAUUUGUUCUCUGCCUACCCUGUGCCCUGAGAACCCGCAAGGUAGCCUGCCCUGAGUCUGAAGUUCAGUCCAAGGUCAGGGGACAAAGGGGCAGGUCCCAGUGACAUGCAGUCAGGGGUGUGGUGGCCCCAACCAGAGGCUUCUCUGAGAGGUGCUCUUGGGGCUCAGCAAUGGGGGUAGAACUUGUUCUUCUAAUCAGCCAAGGCCAUCUAGUCCUCUCUCUGAAUCAGCCCCGAGGGGGGGCUUUGGUCCGGGGUCAACCCACCCAGGAGUCCUUGGGAAAGCUCAGGUUAGCCUGCUCAUGAACUGUCCUGUCUUCAGGUUUGGUCCCCAACUCCUGUGUCUCAAGAACCAGGCAGGGGCACCCUUUAUUCCUUCAUGUUCAUUCAUUCACCUGCUCUGGACAGUACGCCUGCCCCAUGCCAGGUGCUGCGGUGAGUGUUGGGGGUCUGCUGAGGGUCAAGAAGAAGAGAUUCCUGCCCCCACAGGGUUCAGUCUUGGGAAGAGAGUUUACAGGUAGAAAGAGAGAUGGCCCUAGGUGCCUGCCGUUUGCUCUCGGCACUGGUUCCAGACAGGCGACCUUCAGUCCAUCCGUGGGCAGACUGGGACAGCGCAUGCCGCUGGGCCGCUGGGCCGCUGGGCCUCUGGGCCGCUGGGCGCAGGGGUGGUGAAGCCCGAAGCUCACACAAUCUUCGGAGCCUUCCUUAGGAAGACGAGUGCAAGACAUGCAAUUCUAGAUAUGAAAUUAGUGCCAACGGGAAUGUUUACUUAGCACGUGAGAAGAAAGCACAGCAAAUAACAUAGUUUUUAAAGCGACCAAUUCCGUAAACAUCACAAAAUCCAAAUAAAUAACACUUUCACUAAUUAACUGCCUGACACACCUCUGUUAUACUUCAUCUUACAUUUUUGGCCCCACACCCUCUGAUCACUGUGUGAAUGCAUUUUGAGGGCCCCUCCCAGGGGAAGUGUGAGAGCUAGUGAGGGGCUCUGACAGGUUUAAGCUUCGUUAGCUUUUUACUAAACCCUAUAUUUAAUUCUCUACUUCAUUGAAUCCUCAGAACAAUCCUAUUUUGUAGGCACCGUGAUUACCCCCAUUUCAUAGAUAGAGCAACUGAGGCUUAGAAGGGCACUGGGUUGUCCCAGGUCAUCUGCUCUCCACUGUGACCUUCACACUAUCUUGUCCUACAUACCUUGGGUUUGGUGAAUAAACUCAGACACAUCCCCAGCCCAAAGUGCUCCCACGCUAGAAAGAGAAGGCAAUGGGGCGCCUGGGUGGCGCAGUCGGUUAAACGUCCGACUUCAGCCAGGUCACGAUCUCGCGGUCCGUGAGUUCGAGCCCCGCGUCAGGCUCUGGGCUGAUGACUCAGAGCCUGGAGCCUGUUUCUGAUUCUGUGUCUCCCUCUCUCUCUGCCCCUCCCCCGUUCAUGCUCUCUCUCUCUCUCUCUCUGUCCCAAAAAUAAAUAAACGUUGAAAAAAAAAAAAAAAAAAAGAAAGAGAAGGCAAGAUUUGAAACCUGGAAAAAAUGAAGUGCUAUUUUUUUUUUAAUGUUUAUUUUAUUUUUGAGAGAGAGAGAGAGAGAGAGAGAGCGAGAGCGCAGGGGAGGGGCAGAGAGAGGGAGACACAAAACUGGAAGUAGGCCCCAGGCUCCACACUGUCAGCAAAGAACCCAACACGGGCUCAGAUUUACAAACCGCGAGAUCAUGACCUGAGCUGAAGUCAGAGGCUUAACCGACUGAGCCACCCAGGCGCUCCUGAAGUGCUAUUAUAAGGCCGAAUAUGUUACGUGCCCCUACAACCCUUCCCUUUUUCCAUCCAGAGCUUAUUAACCUCUACCUCCUCCAGGAAGCCCCUCAGGAUUCCAUGGGCCCACUCUGGCCCCUUCAUAGUUCCCUCUCUGGGACGCAUUUUCCCCAAAUGGGAAAUGAUAGAAGGUCUCUUUCAACCAUAGAAUUACAGGAUUCUGUUUUUAUUUUUUGAGAGAGCCUUGAAUCCUAUGGUCCAGCAUCAACGGUGUAGGUCCACCCCAUCCAAUCUAUCACCAACCCCUAUACCCUCUCUGACCACUGCUCCUGGCCCCCAGUUACAGCCCUGACCAAGCUGCCAUCCUUCCUCCCCUGGAUUAUGGCGACAACAUCAGUCUUCAAAUUGCUGCCUGAGCAUCUCCUCGCUAACAGCAAGGAGCCUGCUUGGGAUUCUCUCUCUCCCUCUCUCUCUGCCCCUUCCCUGCUCGUGCCUAUGUGUGCCCACAUGCUCUCUCUCUCUCAAAAAUAAAUAAAUAAACUUAAAAAAAUUGAUAAAAAUAGAAUAGGAGCAGCUGGCUUAGAAGAACAUACAAUUCUUGGUCUCAGGGUUAUGAGUUCAAGCCCCACGCUGGGUGUAGAGGUUACUAGAACAAGCAAACAAACAAACAAAUUAAAAAAUAAAAUAGAAUAAAGACAACGACCCUACAUGGCUUCCGUGCUCUCGGACCCCAGCUCAUCUUUCUCUCCUGCACUCUGCCCUUACCAGUCCCACUGACCACAUGGCCAGCUCUUUGUCACCUCAGACCUUCACACAUGCUGUUCCCUCUGUUGGGGACACUCUUCCCCACUCCUCCCCAGGCUAACUCCCAUGUGCCAUUUCCACCUCAGGUGCGGUAUCUCUUCUUUGGGCACCCGUCAGUUUAAAUGGAGUUGCAGGGAACAGAAAGUGAGGUACCCUACUGUAGAGGACUGAAAAGUGGCCCCCAAAGAUAUCCGUCCCUAAUCCUUGGAACCUGUGUUACCUUGUUUAGAAAGAGGGUAACAUUUGCAGGUGUGAUUAAAUUAAGGGCCUCGAGACGGGAAGCUUAUCCUGGGCAAUCUGGUGGGGGGAGCCAGGACAAAUGCGAUCACAUGUAUCCUCAUAAGAGAGACACAGGGACAGGUUCAUCACAUAUAUAGAGGAGAAGGAACAUGAAGAAAAAGCAGACAGAGAUGUGAAGAUAAUUAGCCUUUAACACUGGAGUGACAUGGCCACAAGCCAAGGAAUGCCAGCAGCUCCUGGAAGCUGGAAGAAGCAGGGAACAGAUUCUCUUGAAGGGCCUCCAGAGGGAGUGCAGCCUGGUGAACCCCUUGGUUUUGGCCCAGUGAUACCAACUUUGGCCUUCCAGCCUCCAGGACUGUGAGAGAAUAAAUGCCUGUUGUUUAGGUCACCCAGCCUCUACUAAUUUGUUAUGGUGACAAUAGGCAAUGAAUACAUCUACUCAAUAUCAUUUUUCCCAUUCACUCUUCAUACAGAAUUUUCAUUUCAGUAAGGAUACCCUGCUCAUUUCUUCAUUUAUCAGCCUCCUUUCCAGCCAGGUGUGGCUAUGGGACUAUGUUCGGGCCAAUAAGAUAUAAGCAGAGGUUGUGUGGAUUUCUGUGAAGUCUCCUUAAAAGGGGGAUAGAGAACCAAUGUGUACCCUUUUGCUCUCCCAUCCUCCAUGCUUUCCAUCUGGAAUACAAACGUAAAGGCUGACACUUUAGCAGCCAUCUUGGGAACAUGAGGUACAACAGAGGCUUCUGUUCCUGAGUUACUGAACCAAUAUCAGCAGCCACUACCUUCAGACUGCUCAUUAUGAGAAGUAAACUCUUAUGUGCUUAUGCUACUCUCUUUAAGAUGUGUUAGUAACAGCUGUUCACAAUCCCCACUGAAAAAUCUUUCCUAUUUUUCCACCUCAUACCAUCUAUGUAAGUCAUCGGAAUGUAUAAUAAUACCUGUACUUGUGUGUUUAUUUGUUUAAUGUCUGCUUCCUCUGCUAAACUGUAAUUUCCAUGAGGGCGGGGCUUGGGUCUGUUUUGUUCAUAGCACAGGACCUGGCACAAAGUCGGUGCUCAGUGGGUAUUUGUUGAACGAAUGAACAAAUGCCUCUCUUAGUGAGGUCCCAGGCAUAUUAUAAGACAAAGACCAUGAUUCAUUCCUCUCUUCUCUUUAGUGCAGCCCUGGGCUGCAAAUCAAUGUACCUGGAGUCCUGAUUAAGUAGAAUGGAAUACAAAGAAUUGAAAAUAUCUGGGCUCCAGUCUGCCCUGUGGCUUCUUAAUAGUAAGUGCUGAAUAAAGUUUUAUUAAGUGACUCAGGAACAGACUGGCCCUCUGGAGAAAGACAAGGAUGUUUAGGGAUGGCAUUUCAGUGUGGGAUAUGAGGCCCUGAGGAAGGAGUGUCUGCUGAAUCCCCAACCAGCCAUCAGAUUGGCAGGGCAUGCAGAAGUCAACUCUAAGUUCAACCAGGCGGCGCCCAUUUCAAAUUCCUGGGAGCUGAGGCUCAGAUGGGGACAGGGACUUGCCUGAGGUCACUUGGGGUGGUAGCAGAGUCAGAUAAGGCUGCUCAGCUUCCAAUCCAGCCCUUCUCCCUGUUUAGUGUUCUCUGUACCCUGUCAUCUUCUAGAUGAUAAGACAAAGGGAAAGGAGGUGUGCAUGACUGGGGCUUCCCCGGUCCCAGCUAGAACAUCAGCAAGCAAUCUUCCCGUUCACAGAUGUCAUUGCUGAGGCGCCAUGAGGCUGCGGGUCCUGCACCACAAAGAGUUUGCAGAGGCUAGAAACCCAGACCAGAAGUACCCACUGUGGAGCUUUUCCCACACUGGCAUCCUGUCUCUUGACCAGGGCUAUAGCAAGUGUCACCACCCAGGCUGGGGGCAAAUGGCUGCAUUCCUCCCAGUGUUCUCACGCUCCAACCUCAAGGCUGGCAGGUUUAGGAUAGACUGUUCACACUUUCUUCACAUGUUAGCAAGUCAAGGUGCCCGAGAAAUCUGCUUGGCUGACCAUGCCUGUCCUUCAGGUGAAGAAAAGGAAAGCCAAGAGCAUCCCAGGGUCUAGUCCAGGGUGACACAGCAAUCAACCAGGGUGGAACCAGGGCCAAGGUCUGACAUGUGUCUCUUGGCCAGUGUUCAGCCACCUGCGGUUUAGCAGUGACCUCUAGCAGGGCAGGCAGAGGAGGGGAGAUACAGCCCUGGUGAAAAAGAAUGAUGUGUUUUAGCAAGUUUAAGGUCGAGCGUUUCUCUCUCCACAAAAGUAGCCAGUGCCUUGUACUCCCAGAGCCGUUCUCAAACUUUCUAAUCUCAGGACCCGUUUAUACUCUUAAAAAUUGAUGACCCCAAAGAUCUUCUUUUUUGUGGUCAUUAUAUCUAUCAACAUUCACUGUAUCAAAAAUUAAAACAUAUAUAAUAAAUAUUGAUUAAUAUAAAAAUAACAAUACACAUUCUAAUAUAGAACCUAUUUUAUGAAAAAUAACCUUAUUUCUGAAAAAAAAUUGUGAAGAGUAGCAUUGUUUUACAGUUUUCUAAAUCUCUUUCAUGUUUGGCUUAAAAGGAGACAGCUGGGUUCUCAUACUUGUUUCUGUAUUCAGUCUGUUGUGAGAUAUCGUGACACGUAGCCUCUGGAAAACUCUAUUGUACAGUCAUGAAAGAAUGAGAGUAAAAAGCCAAGUAAUACAUUGGUCUUAGAGUGCAAACAAUUUUGACCUCAUGGAUCCCAAGGGUCUUGGGGAACUUAGGGGUCCCUGGACCAUACUUUAGAACCAGUGGUCAGUACUCUGUGAGGUGCUUCCUGUUGUCAUUUCCAUUUUAUGGAUGAGCAAAAUAAGGCUCAGAGAUGUUAUGAGGCUCGCUCAAAGGCACAUAGCCGGUAACAGUCGUAUCAACCCAAGAUAAUCGGCUCUAGGGAAGUGUGUUCCUAACAGCAGCAUCGCACUCCAGCCCCUCGCUGAUGGACAGAUGUUGUAGGAGGAAUGCGAUCAGGAAGGAGCCAGAGGUUCUGGGGUACCCCAAGAAGGGAGAGGUAGUGCGGUUGUCGAGAUUCUGGACUUGGAAACAGUGCCUGGACCCGCAUCCUGGCUAUCCCUGUAUGUGCUGGGUGACCAGGGACAAAGUGCUCAACCCCUCUGAACCUUAGAUAGUCCCUCUGUGAAAUGUGAUGAUAUGAUAUUUAUAUCACAGGGUCAUUGGGAGGAUUAAAUGUUAAUUUAUGCAAAUUAAAACAGUGCUCAGUAAAUGUCGUAUAUAGUUCACAUCUUUUAGAUGGCAUAGAUUUGUGAGCAGGGCCAUGGAUGUGGUUUCACUGAAGCUGGAGGCGGGGGUUGGGGGGGGAGGUGGUACAGAUAUAGCACAGGUCCUGAAGGGAGGGCCAAGGGAGGGAGAAGACACGUGGCCUGGAGGACGGAGGAGGGGCUUCCAGACUAGGAGCACAUCACUCUCAGGUGGUGGGCCCAGAUGCCCAGGGACUCUGGGCGUGUAAGCCAGCAGUGACCUGCAGUGUGACAGGAGAGCCAGCCUCACCUGCCCCAGGGCACAGAGGCCAGAUCCCUUGCUCAGGGUCAGCAGCCUGGUCACUGGGACCUAGAUCAGACCUCCAAUAUCCCGCCUAGAAAAGCCACCAGACCACCUCCUCUCCUGACCCCCUUUAGCUGGUGGGUGAAGCCCCCAGUUCCCUGUUUCUCCCGGCAUCCCAGCCCUAGAAAAUCAUCUAAACCACACCGUCAGAGGAUCCUGAGAACCAUCUUGCCACACUGCUCCCUUUCCCUUUUGGCAGAUGAAGAACCUGGGCCCCAGAGACGUAGCUGGACCACUCGCACCACACAGCAAGUUGGGGACAGAAGGCCCAGUCCACUUGGCAUCUGAUUCUGGUUGUAUGCACUGAGCCACCCCUCCUCCCUUGCUCAGCAGGGACUCAGGCCCAUGUGCUGUUGUGUGACCUCAGGCAAGAUGCUUAACCUCUCUGUGCCUCAGUUUCCUUAACUAUAGAAUGGAAAUAACAAUUUUACUUCCUUCAUUGGGGUAUUGUGUGGAUUAAAGUAAGUCAAUCGACACAAAACACUUAGAACACUACCUAGCUUUCAAUACUGGUAGUCAACACUGUGACCACAUCACCGUCAUCACCAUCAUCAUCAUCGAGGUCUUGAACAUCGUUAGGGGAUACACUGGGGGUGUUCCUUGUUUGAGGCCCUGGGGACAGAUGGGUAAGCACAGAAUUGUGUUCUGUCUUCUCCUGCCUGCAAACUGAUUCACAGGGUGAUUUGGGGCACAUUGUUCACUAUGCCUGGGCCUCUGUGUCCCCAGCUGGACUGGAGGGGGAGCUUUAUUUCUUAUAAAAUUUCUAUUGUGCUUCUAGUGCCAUGGCAUUUCUCUGGCAAUACUGACCAUAAAAAUGUGCACGACUACUCCCUGCAGUAUCAUUUAUAAGGCAAGAGUAAACAUUUAGAAACCGUCUCUGUCCGCUUCCUCAUUGGAGUUUUAAACACGAGGGAAUAAUAGCCCCAAACUGAAAGUAAUCCAGAUGUCCCACAGCAGGUGCACAGUAUUAAAAACUGAGACAACCACAUGAAGGAAUGUUCCUCAGCAAUGAGAAGCAGUCAACUCCUGGUAACACAACAAUGUGGGUGAAGCUCAAAAACACUGGAUGGGGUGAAGAAGCCCCCAAGAGUGCCUACUGUAUGAAUCCAUUGAAACAAAAUUCCAGAAAAAGGAAAGCUAAGCUAUAGGGGCAGGAAACAGUCUAGGGGUUGCCUGGGGCAAGAUGUGAGGGCAAAGGAUUGACUACAAAGGGGCAUGAAAGAACUUCUGGGGUAACAUAAAUAGUCUGGAUUUUGAUUAUGGUGAUGGUUACAUGACUAUAUAAUUAAAAAAAUUUUUUUUAAUGUUUAUUUUUCAGAGAGAGAGAGAGAGAGAGACAGAGAGUAAGCGGGGGUGGGACAGAGAGACAGACAGACAGACAGAAUCCAAAGCAGCCUCCAGGCUCUGAGCUGUCAGCACAGAGCCCGAUGUGGGACUCGAACCCAUAAAUCACGAGAUCAUGACCUGAGCCGAAGUCGGACACUUAACCGACUGAGCCACCCAGGUGCCCCAUGACUAUAUAAUUUUUGAAAGUCAUUGAACUGUACUCUCGAAAUGAGUGUAUCUUAUUGUAUGCAACUUAUACCAUAAUAAAAUUGAUUAAAAAACAAAAUGAUGGUUCACACACACAAAGAAAGCUCUGGAUUUGUCACAACAAGAGGGCUACAACUUUGGCCUCAGCAUGGAAAGAUGUCCAUGUUUUGUUGUUGAAUGAAAAAUAAAGGCAAAUUAUGUGACAGAUCUGUUGACACUGACAUUUGUUGAGAGCUCACUGCGGGCCAGGCCCAGGCUAAGAGCCUCACCUGCAUUACUUUGUUAAACCUCGACAAUGUCCAUAUGAGGCUUUACAGAAGAGAAAACUGAGGUCCAAAGAGAUGAGGCCACGCGGGACUCUGGGUAUGAAGCCAAGGAGCCACGCUGUUGGGACCUGGGACACACUCUGAGCCACCACACUGAGCUCUACGGUAUGAUUUCAGUGUAGCCAAUAACUGGCAAUGUUAGUCUAUGCACAGGCAAAAUCUGCAAGGGUGAUCCCAAUCUGGGCCCAUGGGUUACGUCUGGGAGGUGCAUUUAUAGGUACUUUCACUUUCAAAACUAUUUCUGUUGAGUUUACUGUAACUUGCCUAAAUUACUUUCCCAAUCAGAGAAAGCAGUAUAGAUUAAAAAAAAAAAAAAUUACUGAAAACAUUCCUGUCCUGUAUCUCAUCUGCUCAGGAUCCCGGCACCGUCUCCUCACUGCUCCCUCUCCUAGACGGGGCCACAUGCCUGCGCAGAGCCCCAAGGCCCACUGAUAAAGACUGGGGCACACUGAGACCCGUAUCAGGCCUGAGCAGCCCUUUGCAGUCCCCUCCAUCUGGUCCCCCCAGGGAGGGUGGACCCUGUUCCAGAAAUCAGCAGGCUCUGUGGCCCUGGAGAUAACAGGAGCUUGGUGGUAAGGACCAGCAGGGUGAGGGUCUACAGCAGGGGGAUGGGGUGGUGAGUCAGAAGUGUAAGCAGGCUUCUCCCCACUGGGCAGACGAAGCUGCUGAGACCCAGAGAAGGUGUGACCUGCUUGGUCUGUAUGGCCCUGGCUCUGUCUGCUGUGUGGCUCUGGGCACAUUUCAUGCCCUCUCUGAUCCUCAGGUUCCCUUGCGAUCCUUUGGUUCCAGCUUGGUCCUCUUUUAGGAAGUAACCUGGGCCCUGAAACCAGUCUUGAGAGUCCCUAGUGUGUAGGCAGACAGCAGGAUGCACAUGACGUCCUCGGCCCCCAGCUUCAACUCCAAGUGGACGCGUGGAGGCUCAAAGGCGCUCUUAGGACGCUGAACGCAUGCGCACAUGCCUGUCUGCGUGUACCCACAUCCGCAGGCCCCAAGGACAACGACCAGGGCCACCCUGGGCCAGGCCAAGGUUUGUUUACAUGUCCAAAGGUCAGAUGCUGCCUGCCAGGGAGGGCCUCAGCUGGUGAGAGUCUGCAGCUGUGUGCCCAGGACACAGAUAACAUGUGCCUCGGGGAGGGGCGGGCAGCCCCAGGAGAGGGUGGGACAAGAGUGACACCCAGGCUUCCCUUCCUGGGAGCGCCUGCUGGUUCUGCUGCUGUGGGCCCUGACUGGGGAGUCUCCACCUCCCCUGUGCGCCUACGAGCCCCCGGGACCACUUAGCUUGGUUUCCCUGAGCCUAUGCCCGCUCUGUACCGCUCACCACUUCUUUGACACCACGGGGUGUAUUCACCUCGUGGAGCCUCAGUUUCUUCAUCUGUAAAAUGGGGAUAAUCACGGCUCUUUCCUGAUAGGGGGCAGAGUGGAGCCCUGGGGCUAAGGCCUGAUUGUGCCAGGUGAGUGGGAGGGGCUUCACCCAGGGGUCUCUAAUGUUAGGGAUAGCUCCACAUUCUGGAAACCCCCUCUGCACUGUAAGGAGGCUUAGGGGUCUCCGUCUGCGCCUGAAGUCACAGGGUGGGGCCUAGAAGUUCCUGCCUGUCCUUUUCCAUCUUCUCCCCAGUGGUAUUUCCCAACUGCCUGCAGUCCUACCUCCCCCCCCCCCCCCACCCCGCGCCCAUUCAUCCCUCUCAUAGCCACCCCCCUUAAGCAAUCUCUCAGUUUAUGUCAACAAAAGCACAAACGUAACCUAGUGGGCUUGUGGUCUGGCUGUGGAGAUGGGAUUCGUACACAGCAACUUAAAAAAGACUGGCAGCUUUUUAAUGUGUCUGUGCCCUGUGCACACACAGGGGGUAUGCGUUCAGCCUGAGUGUCUGCCUGGGAGGGGACACUUUUUCUCUCAUCUCUCCCCCUGGGACAUUCCUUUUUUUAAAGUUUAUUUAUUUAUUUUGAGAGCGAGACGGAACAGGAGGGACAGAGAGAGAGGGGGAGAGAGACAAUUCCAAGCAGGCUCCAUGCUGCCAGCCAAAGCCUGACGCGGGGCUCAAACUCACGAACUGUGAGAUCAUGACCUGAGCCGAAAUUAAGAGUCGGAUGCUUAACCGACUGAGCCACCCGGGCGCUCCCGCUGGGACAUUCUUGCUUCCCCAAACUCUCACUACCCACCUCAAGGAAGAAGGAUGCUGAAAUAUAUACCAAAAAGUCAUUUGUAUUAAAUUGGCAAAAAGUGUGAGCACUGAUCACCAGCAGGGCUGGAGAGACAGACUCCCCCCUCACUGUGGAUGAGAAUGAUAGUGGGCACACCCCCCCAGGUGGGUGAUUAGCAUCUCUCUCAACACACAACCACACACAUGACCAACAACCCAUGGGUCACCUUCCUGGGAAUCAAUGGAACAGAAAUGCUACCACAGGCUCAUCUGUUCAUGCAUGUUUGUGAAAGCUUUUCUUUUUUUUUUUUUUUUUUCCAGGAGGGAGCGGGUAAAAGCAUAACCGUAUUGGAAGUAUUUCAAAUGAUUGUCCACAGAGGUUGAUUAUCUAGACAUCGUGUGAUCCAACCACGCUAUGGAAAACUAAAGCAUGGACUCCCUUGGAAAUGUUUCCAAAAUUCACUGCCGGUGAGAGAAGCAAGUUGAAGAACAUGCAAAAACAGAACUCUGAAAAACACAUGUAAAACAAAACUAUUCUCUCCCUUUCUUUUUGAAAACAAAAUUUUUUUUUUAACAUUUAUUCAUUUUUUGAGAGACAGAGCAUGAGCAGGGGAGGGGCAGAGAGAGAGGGAGCCACAGAAUCUGAAGCAGGCUCCAGGCUCCGAGCUGUCAGCACAGAGCCCGACGCGGGGCUCGAACUCACUCAUGAGCGGUGAGAUCAUGACCUGAGCCGAAGUCGGCCGCUUAACCAACCCAGGCACCCAGGCACCGCAACUCUCUCCCCUUAUUAACAAGUCACAUAUAUGGCAACUCAAGUCUAUUGGCAUGGGAAAGUUCUGGAAAGAGUCACGCCAAAUGAUUAACCUAAUGCAUGCCAUUUUCUAGCUGUGUGACCUUGGGAAGUGACUUAGCCUGCUUCCUCUUCCUGAAAGUUGGGAAUAACAAACCUCACAGGGCUGUGAGGAGCCUUAAUGUAAUUAUUAUAAAUCCUUUGGCACAUAACAAGCAGUCCAUAAAUAUUUAGGGAAAUAAAGCAGGAAUCCAUUUUCAGCGGAACUAAUUUAUUCUCAGGAGUCAACUUUCAGCUCAGUUUCAGUGCUGGAGGCUGGUCUGCCUGCCUUUGCUGUCACCUAGCGGUCACAGUAAGAAAGCAUACACUGGAGCGCUCUCUGCUCCCUUCCUGCCUUUAUUCGUUGUGGAGAAUAGAGCACCCUGUCUCUCCACAACCCAAGUCCCUCUGGGUUCCUCCAGGGCCUGCAAAGCGUCAGGCACUCCUGUGCCUUGAGGUUGGAGACUGGCAGACUCCGGAAUGGUCCCGGGGCCUCUAUGAGUCUCGGUUUUCUCAUCUCAAGAAGGGGAGUAGUAACAGCUUACUUCAUACCUUUGUAAGGAUAAAACGCAAUAAUGCAUGUAAAGCACUUAACACUGGCCCUGACACAAAAGAACAUCCUAGAAAUGGUAAUUAUUGGUAUUUACACACUUAUCUCCUUACUGCUUAGGAGAGCUGUAUUACACCCAUUUCACAGAUGAGAAGCUCGAGACUCAGAAAGGUCGAGGUAACUUGCCUGCAGCCACUUGGCUAAGAGAGCGCUAGCCAAGAUGAGAUUGCAGGCCUGCCCAGGAGCUGCCUCCCCACCCUUAGGCUACUAUUUCACAUGCUCAUCUGCAAAGGAGUUGUAGGGAGCACUUUCUUACCACCACUCGUGCCCGAAGUUUGGAUCGCACCUACCAGGAACAUUAAAAAAAAUAUACUGAGAUAUAUACUGACUGUUGCUCUCUAACAAAUUGCUUUACAACCAAUUUUGUGUCCUAGAUGUUCCUGUCUUCUCAUCCGAGUCCAGGCCCGCAGCUGGCUGUAGUAAUCUGAAGGGAACUAACUGGGGAGCUACCUUCUUCCAAGGUCAUGUGGCUGCUAGCAAGAUUUACUCUCAAGGAUUGUUGGACUGAUAUCUUCCCAGCUGUUGGCCAGAGGCCACCCUCAGUUCCUCAGUUCCACGCAUCAAUGUCUCCUGCGUGGGAGUUUGCUUCAUCAAAGCGUGCAAGCCGGGCGUGAAAGCAAGAGCAGGGUGGAAGUCACGGUCUUUUGUAGCCUGAUCGUGGAAGUGAUUAUUGCCGUAUUCUAUUUGUUAGAAGUGACUCACUGGGCCCAGCCCAUCCUGCACAAAAGGAGAGUACACAGGGGCUUGAAUACCAGGAAGAGGGGAUCACAGGGGGCCAUUCUAGAACCUUUCUGCCUGCCACACCAGUCGCCAACUUUUAAUUUUGCCAGAGAAGAACACUUAGAAAAUCAACUCCCACCUCUGGUUACCAUAACUUCAUAAAUGAAAUAGACUUUUUUUUACAAUUUGUCUAGAUACAAAGAGAUAAUUUCAUAAUAAGGGGUAGUCCCUUGUGGGUGAAUAAAUGUAGCCUCG